rnacentral:lncRNA from 1 species
GUGUGGUCUUGAAGCGCUUAAUGAUAAGCGCCAUCUCAUCUUCGUUGAGGUCUGCGACCUCCACUUGUGCCACCUUGCUUGGUAGCGUCUCCCUGUUGCUGGUUGCUUUGAGGGCAACGAUUUGAGGCUCGUGAAUGGGUAGUGGACCGUUUAGAGCAUUGUCCACAUAUCGAGCCUCCUUCACCAUCAUGCGUCUGCUCACAAACUUCCCAAGAAUCUCCUCGGGCGUCAUCUUGGUGUACCUGGGAUUCUCACGAAUAAGGUUGACAAGAUGGGGGUCAAUUACCGUAAAUGACCUUAGCAUUAGUCGGACGACGUCGUGGUCCGUCCAUCUUGUGCUUCCAUAGCUUCUAAUCUUAUUGACCAGGGUCUUGAGCCUAUUGUAUGUUUGUGUUGGCUCCUCUCCCCUGAUCAUCGCGAACCUUUCUAGCUCGCCUUCCACCAACUCCAUUUUGGUGAUCAUGGUGGCGUCGUUUCCCUCAUGUGAUAUCUUGAGGGUGUCCCAUAUUUGCUUGGCGUUGUCCAAGCACCUUGUUGUAUUCAUCCCUGCACAAGGAUGCUAGCAAAACAGUAGUAGCUUGUGCAUUCUUAUGAAUUUGCUCAUUUAUGAAAACGGGAUUGUCAGUACUAUCAAAAUGCAUUCCGUUUUCAACAAUCUCCCAAAUACUAGGAUGGAGAGAAAAUAAGUGACUACGCAUUUUGUGACUCCAAAAAGAAUAGUCUUCUCCAUCAAAGUGUGGAGGUUUCCCAAGUGGAAUUGAUAGCAAAUGAGCAUUAGAAUUAAAUGGAAUACGAGAACAAUCAAAUGAAUAGUUUUGAUUCACCAGUUUUUUUCUUUGACGAGGAAUCAUCGUCAUCGUCGUGUGGUGAAGAAGACGAGGCAUCACUGUCGUAGUAGAUGAUCUUCUUGAUGCGCCUCUUCUUCUUCCCAUCCUUCUUCUUGUGACUCGAGCUAGAGUCAGUGGGCUUGUCGUCUCUUGGCUCGUUGAAGAGGGACUCCUUCUCCUUAUCGUUGACCAUCAUCCCCUAUCCCUUAGGAUCCAUCUCUUCGGGCGGUUAGUCCCUUAAGUGAAGAGAACGGCUCUGAUACCAAUUGAGAGCACCUAGAGGGGGGGGGGGGUGAAUAGGUGAUCCUGUAAAAUUCAACACUAAUAGCCACAAAACUCAGUUAUGAAAGUUAGAACGGCUAAGUAGCUUGAAGCGAGUUCGUGUGAACACAGACAAUCAAAGAGAAAGCACACAAGAGACAUGCGAUUUUUAUCCCAUGGUUCGGCCAAGUAAUACUUGCCUACUUCCACGUUGUGGCGUCCCAAUGGACGAGGGUUGCACUCAACCCCUUUCAAGUGAUCCGAUGAUCAACUUGAAUACCACAAUUUUUCCUUUCUUAGUCUUUCUCCCGUUUGUGAGGAAUCUCCACAACUUGGAGCCUCUCGUCCUUACAAUGAUGAUCACAAAAGAAGCACAGAAGUAAGGGAGGGGAGAGCAACACACACAAGACUCAAAUCCACAGCACAAUCACGCACACAAGUCACAACUUGAGCUCAAAACACAACGCACGGAGUUCACAACUCAAAUGGAGCUCAAGUCACUAUCUCAAAGAAUCGAAUUCGUGAAGUUGGAGUCUUGGAGUCUUAGAAUGUUUGUUGUAAGCUUGGGUGGCUCCUCCAUGUGCCUAGGGGUCCCUUUUAUAGCCCCAAGGCAGCUAGGAGCUGUUGGAGGCCAACAAGGAAAGCCAUCCUUGCCUUCUGUCGAGUGGCGCACCGGACAGUCUGGUGCGCCAUCGGACAGUCACUCUAGACGGUCUGGUGCCGAUCUCCUUCCUUUUCUGGUGCAGAUGACCGUUGUAGCUUCGGGCCUGAUGGCACACCGGACAGUCCGGUGCCCCUUGCCAACUGUUGGCGCGGGCCACGUGUCGCCCGCGGAUUGCGCGGCCGACCGUUGCGCUGGCGACCGUUGGCUCACCGGACAGUCCGGUGCACCACCGAACAGUCCGGUGAAUUAUAGCCGUACGCCGCCGAUUUUUCCCGAGAGUGGCAUGUUCACCGGAGGCUGGCCUGGCGCACCGGACAGUCCGAUGUGCCAAGUCGAGCUGGACUUCGGCUGCACCCAGCCAAGUCUUUUGUAAUUCUUUUCUUUUCUUCUUUUCUCUAUUUCUAGCACUUAGCCAAUAUAUGUUAGUACUCAAAACAAUGUACUAAGUCUAGAAACAUACCUUGUUACAUGAUUUGCACUUCUUGCUUGUUUGGCACAUAAUCACUCACUUAAUAUGUGUUGGAUACUUAAUCACCAAAACAUUAUAGAAAUGGCCCAAGGGCACAUUUCCCUUUCAGAUGCGUUUAUCUGCUCUUGUGCUUCGAGUUACAACUCCCAUUGUAAAGGCUAGCGGGAGGCUCCGAGUUUAUAGAGUACCUUGCGAAGACUUCGGUCUCUCAAUCAAGAAGAAGAGAGGAAUCAAGCUCGAUUUAUGUAAUCGCUUGAGAGGGUUGAAAGAGACUCGGUCCCUUAGGACACCUCAACAUAGACAUAGGUUUCAUUUGGAAAUCGAACUCCGGUAAACAAAUGACUGUGUUCUUUGCGUUUGUUUUGUUUCCCCUCCCCCUCUCUUAAGUUAUCUUGCUUGAUCUUUGUUCAAUCUCUCAUGAUGCUCUCUAAGUUUAAUUCCACAUUCAAAAGAUCAACAAGUGCGGGAAGAACUUAUCUCACUACUCCGAUUAUAAUCCCUCUCGUUCUAACGCAUAAUCAGGAUCAAAGUUUUUGUUAUUAAGUGUUAACUUUCUGGUUUCACCUAUUCAUCCCCCUCUAGGCGACUUUCAUACCUAUGUGAAACACUUAGAGCAUAAACAACAUCGGUGCAUGUACAUAAUAUGACUUAUAUGAUGGUCCAACCACGGAGGUAUAUGGAAUGAUACUCACCCUUUUCCGCUCAUCAGGUGUCAAAGCACAAUGAGUAUCACUUAGGGCAAUGCCAUGUGACACUAGCAAGAAAUCUUACUUGGAGUCCUACAUAUUGAAUUUUUAAUACCUUGUUAUUGUACAUACUUUGGCUUAAUCCAAUUAGUAUUUUGACCCAUCUCUAUAAAUUUUAAUGUCCCAAAUAUAAGCUGUCUAUCCCGAAUCUUUCAUAGCGAAGCUAUUUCUAAAUGAAGACUUAAUAACUUGUAAUAUGGGAAUAUCAUUUCUAAUCAACAAUAUGUCAUCCUUUGCCUUGCCCUUGCCCUUCAUAAAGCAUUUCCACUUCUUACUAUUCUUCUAAACUACCAUCACAUGAUUAGAGUUCUUUUUAAUGCUCUCAUUGGUUGUCUUAAGAAUUUCAUGCAACUCAACCAAGGUCUUUUCCAUGCUAUCCAUAUGAAAGUUCAAAAUGAAUGGCUCAUAGCUUAGAGGGAGAGAUAGGAAGAUCACAUCCAUAACCAACAUUAAGAAGAGCGAAACCAAGCAUGUCAUGGCUCUCGACGUAACCUAUCAUCUUGAUUACAUGAGGACCGAUUGGAUCUUCUUUAGCUAGCUUGCAUGAAAAUGUGGACUUGAAGCUCUAAUGUCUCUCAACCCUUGCUUUGUUCAUGAACAUGUCAUGGAGUCUCACAAUCAUAGUGUGGGAAUCAACAUGCUUAUAUUGCUUUUGAAGCUUAGAAGACAUGGUGACAAGAAUGAGGUACAUAACGUCGAGGGAGUCAUUCAUGUGCUUCUCAUAGGUACUUCGGUCACAUCACUUGCAUUCUUUGCUAGCUCAUGAGGAUAGAGAGUCUCAAGAACAUACUCCUCUUACUUGAGAACAAUUCUCAAGUUAUGGUACCAAUCAAUAAAGUUUGUUUCAGUGAGUUUUGUUUGUCAAGAAUUGGUGGCAAGUUAAAACCGAUAGGAGUAUUAGGUGCCAUCACUACAACAAAAUAAAAGGCAAAGUUUAGCACUAUGUAUACUUUAAUAUUUUAAUAAAAGAUUCUCCCCACUAUAUGUUUUGUAAUCGACUAAUCAUCUUCCUCUAACAAUAUAUAGUGGACAAGAUUCAUGUUUAAUAAGUUGUAUUGAGCUUUGGCAACACAUCUAGAAACAUAAUGAUAUAGGUAAGCAAUAUUUACUAAUCAUAUCCGAUGUGACUCUUGUCUGUUGGGUGGUAUCCAAUGCCCUUGCUCCUAACAUCAAGCCCAAGUCACAAAUCCGAUUUGAUAGACUGUUUAAGGAAACCAACACUAUACAUGCAGAUGUCUGAUAUCCAUUCUAUUAGAUUAAACUAAUCGAUGGCACUCUUCUUUGCCUGGCCAACAAAGUGAUGAUUAGAAUCAUUGCAGGCACAACAAUUCGAAGGAUAUCAAAAUGCACUCUUAGUUUUUCUAAGGGAAACUAUUGUAUCACAUUUAGCGCAUGGAGAAAAAGUAAGAUAGUAAUUAAAAUCACUUAUAAUCAUAUUAAAUGUAAGAUAGUAUGUCCCUUUACCAUGUUGAUCUCUGUCGAGGAUUUUUUGAUAGUGCUUUGCUAUGGGUACGCACAAGAUCUAAGAACUGAAAGUAAUAACAUAGGAGGCACAAGGUUUACACUGGUUAAGGCUCUCUUCAGAAAUAAUACCCUAUAUUUAGUUUACCGGUGCCUAUCUUAUGUUUGUUGCCACUACCCCUUGGGGCGCCUCAUCCUUACUUUUAUAAUCGAAGGAAUGAGUCUGCUACAAAAAAGGGCUUGAAUCCUUAUCUAGGUUACAAGAUCUAUUCCUAUCUUUUAAUCCCCUUAUACAUAUAAUGGAAACAUACAAAUAAGGUAAUCUUCCGAUCGACCAAUUUCUCUCCUGAUUUGAGAUCCUGAGUACUCUAUCCGAGUUUGAGUUGUUGGCGGAAUCUAAGUUAUAGGCAGAGUCUGAGUCGAUCCUACAAAUCAGCUUCUCAAAUAUUGAAGUGCUCAUCGAUAUAUAAGCUGUUUGAUUUGAGGGAUGAGCUAGUACAGCAUCUUCUCACUCUCACUUUUUUUGUUUGGUUUGUGGAAUAGAUUGAGUUGUCCAUCAUCACCUCAUUCCUUAUAGUUAUUUAGUGAGUACUAAUAUGAGGAAUGGGGUCAUCCCACCAAAUUUGAGGAAUUGACCCAUGAUGCACCACCACAUUUUAGAUGGAGUGAUUCCUUAAACCAAACACCCCAAUAGUGGAAGAACAUGUCCUUCUCAAGUUUAUCGCUAAUCAAGUUUAUCGCUAAUCAACACAUAUGCAAGGAUAAAGCAUAACUAGGUGAGUGCACGUGCAUUGCAACAGAAACAUAUAGGGGGUGUUUGGUUUGAGGAAUCACUUCAUCCAAAAUAUGGUGGUGCAUCAUGGGUUCAUUCCUAGAAUUUGGUGGGAUGACCCCAUUCCUCAUAUUAGUACUAACUAACUAUGAUGAAUGAGGUGAUGAUGGAUCAACUCAUUCCAUUCCACAAACCAAACAAAAAAAGUGAGGGGUGAGAAGAUAAUGGACUAGCUCAUUCCUCAAACCAAACAACCUAAUAAUACCAUAGUUAAGUGUACGUGCGUUGUGAUUGCACAUAAUUGCAAACCGGAGCUUUUCAAACGUAAAUGCUGCUACUUUGUUCAUUGUUUGACAUCAACCAUUUUUGUUUUUGGGUCGCACAACCAUAACAAACAGUAUUUUGUCACCGUAAAAUAUGUGUGGCAAAUUAUCGCCGUAACACUAAUAUUAUAUUGACCGCAAAUUUCUUUGGAGAAGGCAUCACAAUGUAGAGGUAUUGGACAACCAAUAAGGUAAUUUACUACAGUAUAAAGUACAAUUCUUUAAGCCAUACCAUCUGCGGAUGAGUCAAUUAGGAUGUAGAAUGCAUAAAUAUAAGCUUCCGGAUCUGCAAGGGUAGGAGCAUUGUGUUAACUUGGUUCUAGCAAGAUUUCAUGAUAAAGUAAUAAGUAAUUGCUGAUAAAACAGAAGAAUGGUCCUUUGGUUGUGUUUUCUCCUAUAAAAAAGAUCUACCUGUUUUAUAGUAACUAAAUGACAAGGUACCACUGAAGGUUUUCAUACAGGCAGAGCCAGGUGAAGAAAAAUAACAUAUAGUUUUUUGCAAUCAUAAUGAAAUCACAAAUGAGAAAAGGCACAUUGUUGUACUUUUUUGGUGUUUCUUUCAAACAAACACAACUGGACAUGAUGUGAACUGAAAACAUCGAAAAACACCUUGCCUACCAGCUACCACACACAACAUAAAAAGGAUCCAAAGCUACCUAACCCCAAACCAAACAAAUCGAAUCCAUGGAUGCUCACCUAGGCAAGCAAAGGAGAUCUGAAGGAGACAAGUUGUAUUCCAGCUUCUGUGCCUAGCGCUCUCCUCUAUAUUCUGAGGUCAUUAACUGGUUUCGCAAAGCUCAAGAUUUUAUGGCUGCACAUCGAAGCGGGUGGGCAGAAGACGCGGACGACGAUGGCUGUUUCCAUGGAGCGGGUGAACUGCGGGUUAGUUUGUAGAAAAUGGAAGGGGGUUUUGGGCUCGUUCUAUCACUCGGUGCUGCUACAAGUUUUUGGAUUUAGAAUUCAGUUUUUUUAUUUUUAGUGAAGUUCAACAUCUGAUGAUAUUCAGAUUUUAGAUUUCUUUGAUGCAGCUGAACAUCUAAUGAUAGGAAAGGUGAUCGAAACAUUGGAUUACUGAGCAAAAUGGGAAAUUGAUCAAGAUGGUAAGCUCAAGUGUUUGGCUUCAAUGCUGGGAAUUCCCAGCUGUGAUAGGUGUUGCAGCUCCUAACCUUGGUGAGAUCAGCCUGUCCAACAACCAGCUUAUUUAUACACAAGCAUGGAGAUGAGCAUGCUUAAACAACUACAUUAGAUGGUCUCUGCCUAGUGCCUAGCACUCAUUUGGGAAAGCAAAGGACAUGGUAACAUACUCCCUCCAUAAGGAAACAUGUAAUCUGUUGCAAAAACUACCCAGUGGGAGGCCUAAGCAACAUAGAGUUUUUCCUACGUCAAUGAUAAAACAGAGUACACCACUGCUGUAACUUCGCUCGAUGUGUACCUAUGCAAGCUAUGUGAACUUCACUGCAGAAACAUGAACAAUCUUGGGCAGAAACUUUGGCUCAAAACCCAAAUCAGUCUUUUACGUCCAUGAUUCCACCUGAUGUAACCUGGAAAAUGUGAUAUUAGUCAAGGGAAACAAGUUAUGUGUAUCACACAUUGAUAGCUUGUAUCAUCUAAAACAAUCAUUCAGUCAUGGAAGUUAGCGCUUAGCAGGAAAGGUUCACUAUUCGCGUGAUUGGUUGCCCGGACGAAUAUAUCCAGACCCAUUGCAUGUCGUUGACCAUGUUGCAGCCGUUGAAUGGUUUCCUGCAUGCAGGGAGGAUAGCUUCUACGCGCAGAUACAACCCAAGCAAAAAAACACAUAUUGCCUGCAUGCGUAGAGAUACGGAGACAGAGCUUCGCUAGCCGUGCAGGCCGACGCGAGCCGGGCUCCCUCCAGCCAAGAAACCAAUCACGAGGUAUCAGUAGAGUUUGGUAUGCAAGGAAUGAAGGAAAUAUAGCUAGAUUUUGGCAAGCUGUGAAAGUAAGGCGACCAUUAGCACAGGUAGUAAACAUGGACAAACAAAGCAAAAAGGAUAUAGCUUCUCCUUCAGGAAGGUUAGGUGCAUCGAAGAUCUUGCAGACACAUUGCUUGCCUUUUCCUUUCCUCAGCAUCAAUCUGAUGAUGGCAGCAUGUGCCAACACGUGGCCGCCUACUGGUUUCUUUGGAUCGGUUAUGAACAUGCCACCACCUGGAUCAGCAAUCACUGUAACACAAAAGGGAGACAGCUAAGAAUUUGGAACUCAUUGACCUAUAAACUCUUGGAAUUGAUACAGUGCUAAAUAACAACAAAGCCCACCUUGGUUGGUGAUGUACACUGCAACAUUGAAUUCCUCGGCAAUCUUGGUAAGGCGGGACAACAUCUGUGCUAUCUUUUGCUGCAAUAUCACAACAGAUAUAUACACACAUAAGCAAGCGUCAUUUUUACGAGCUGCCUACUGCCAUUGAAAUGAAUUGAAGAGAAUAACUGGCACUCUGCUAGUUCACCCCUGCCACUGAAAUCAACACGGAACAGUGCAAUCACAGUGUCGGGGACCAUAAUUAGGGGUACCCCCAAGACUCCUAAUCUCAGCUGGUAACCCCCAUCAGCACAAAGCUGCAAAGGCCUGAUGGGUGCGAUUAAGUCAAGGCUCGGUCCACUCAAGGGACACGAUCUCGCCUCGCCCGAGCCCAGCCUCGGGCAAGGGCAGCCGACCCUGGAGGAUUUACGUCUCGCCCGAGGACCCCCUCCAGCAACGGACACACCUUCGGUUCGCCCGAGGCCCAAUCUUCGCCAAGAAGCAACCUUGGCCAAGUCGCCACGCCGACCGACCAUAUCGCAGGAGCAUUUAAUGCAAAGGUGGCCUGACACCUUAUCCUGACGCGCGCCUUUAAGUCGACUGAGCCGAAGUGACCGUCAUCACUUCGCCGCUUCACUGACCAGCCUGACAAGAAGACAGCGCCGCCCGUGCCGCUCCGACUGCUGUGCCACUCGACAGAGUGAGGCUGACAGCAGCCAAGUCCAGCCUCAGGCGCCAUAGGAAGCUCCGCCUCGCCCGACCCAGGGCUCGGACUCGGGCUCAGCCCCAGAAGACUGCGAACUCUGCCUCGCCCGACCCAGGGCUCGGACUCAGGCUCAGCCCUGGAAGACGACGAACUUCGCCUCACCCGACCCAGGGCUCGGACUCGGGCUCGGCCCCGGAAGACGACGAACUCCGCCUCGCCCGACCCAGGGCUCGGACUCGGGCUCAGCCCCGGAAGACGACGAACUCCGCCUCGCCCGACCUAGGGCUCGGACUCGGGCUCAGCCCCGGAAGACGACGAACUCCGCCUCGCCCGACCCAGGGCUCGGACUCGGGCUCAGCCCCAGAAGACGACAAACUCCGCCUCGCCCGACCCAGGGCUCGGACUCGGGCUCGACCCUGGCCUCAGCCGACGGUCUCCGCCUCGCCCGACCCAGGGGCUCGGCCUCGACCUCGACCUCGGAAGAUAGACUCGACCUCGACCUCGGAGGAGCCUCCACCUCGCCCAACCCAGGGCUCGGACCGACCACGUCACAGGAGGCGCCAUCGUUACCCUACCCCAAGCCAACUCAGGCUACGGGGAACAAGACCGGCGUCCCAUCUGGCUCGCCCCGGUAAACAGGUAAUGAUGGCGCCCCGCAUGCUCCAUGACGACGGCGGCUCUCAGCCCCCUUACGGAAGCAAGGAGACGUCAGCAAGGACUCGACAGUCCUGACAGCUGUCCUUCCGCCAGGCUCCAGCGCUCCUCCGACGGCCACGACACCACACGAACCGGGUGCCAAAACCUCUCCGGCUGCCACGACGGCAUGUACUUAGGGCACUAGCUCUUCUCCGCUAGACACGUUAGCACACUGCUACACCUCCCAUUGUACACCUGGAUCCUCUCCUUACGCCUAUAAAAGGAAGGUCCAGGGCCCUCUUACAGAGGGUUGGCCGUGCGGGGAAGGACGGGACGGCGCUCGCGUAAGCCUCUCGCUCCCUCCCGCGUGGACGCUUGUAACCCCCUACUGCAAGCGCACCCGACCUGGGCGCGGGACAAACACGAAGGCCGUGGGUUUCCCCUUUUAUGCCUGUCUCCCUCCGGCUCCAUUUCCCCCCUUCGCGCUCUGUCUCGCGCCGACCCAUCUGGGCUGGGGCACGCGGCGACAAUUUACUCGUCGGUCCAGGGACUCCCUAGGUUCAAAACGUCGACAGUUGGCGCGCCAGGUAGGGGCCUGCUGCGUGUUGACGAACAGCUUCCCGUCAAGCUCCAGAUGGGUAGUCUCCAGCAACCUUUCCAGCCCGGGACGGUGCUCCAUUUCAGGAGUCUUGAGUUCAAGUCCCUCGACGGCAGCUGCGACAUGAUACUCCUUCCCCCACCGCGCGACAGCGACAAUGGCGGCCGACAACCCGCCUGCCGGCGGCGGAAUCGACGACGCCUUCCCCACGUGGCGGAAGAACAACAUUCGGGUUUGUCCCGUCGCCCCCCCCCCCCCCCGACGAUGGAGGAGGAGGCGGGGCAACCAAGGCCAGGCAGGAGGCGGCACCUCGUCGGCUGUCGAGCGAGUCGACGGCGCCGGCGCCCCAGCGGGGGACAUGUCGGGCAUCGACUUCGCGACUGAGACGAAGACGAGCGCCGUCUCCCCGCAACACGCCAACUCCAAGCAAACGAACGACGCCAGCACGCUCGCGAGGGACUUGCUGGGCGUCACCCUCGUACCCGAGACGACGGUGCAGUCUGCCCCUGACGCGACUUCGUCACCGCCCGUCGACCAAAAGGUACCGAUCGACUCCCAUCUUGUGCCUUUUGGAUUCAGCCUCAACCCACCGAGCGACUUCGCUUCGGUGGAUGCUCUCACAAAGGCAAGUCCAAACCCUCCGGGGUAUCGUAUGCAGUCACCCUAGGACCGGUUGACAGCCGUCUCGACCUACGGGCCCUCGGGUUCCGAGGAAGAUGACGAGCCCGACUUUUGUUGGGAUUUCUCCGGACUUGGCAACCCCAGUGCCAUGCGGGACUUCAUGACCGCAUGCGACUACUACCUUUCUGACUGUUCCGACGGUAGCCGCAGCCUCGGCGACGAGGACUGCGGCCCAAGUCGUGAAUGUUUCCACGUCGAUCUAGGGGGUCCCGGCGAAGGCAACCAUCUUGGUAUACCGGAGAACGGUGAUCCCCCUAGGCCUGCGCCUCACGUUGACAUCCUUCGGGAGCUAGCUGUGGUCCCCGUCCCGACGGGGGGUCAUGACCCACAGCUCGAGCAAAUCCGCGAGAUGCAGGCCAGACUCGAUGAGGGAGCAGGAACACUUGAGCCGUUCCGCCGGGACGUCGGGCAGGAAUGGGCGGGCCAACCUCCGGCCGGAGAAGCGCGUCAUCUACCCCAGGGCAUCUAGCACCGCAUCGCCGAUGACGUCAGGGCAAGGCCGCCACCGGCUUCCAGCGGGGUCGGCCAGAACCUGGCUGCAGCGGCAAUACUCCUCCGCGCGAUGCCGGAGCCAUCAACCAACGAGGGGCGGCGUAUCCAGGGAGAGCUCAAGAAUCUCCUGGAGGAUGCCGCGGUUCGACGGGCCGAAAGCUCUGCCUCCCGAAGGCAGGGGUACCCCUCGGAGCAUCGCGCCGCGACUUCCCGAUUCAUGCGGGAAGCCUCGGUCCACACCGGGCGCACGCGCAACAUAGCGCCUGCGGCCCCGGGACGCCUCGGCAACGAGCACCAUCACUGCGACCGUCGAGCCCACCACGAUGAAAAGGUGCGCCGAGGCUACCACCCCAGGCGUGGGGGACGCUACGACAGCGGGGAGGAUUGGAGUCCCUCGCCCGAACCACCCGGUCCGCAGGCUUUCAGCCGGGCCAUACGACGGGCGCCGUUCCCGACCCGGUUCCGAACCCUGACUACUAUCACAAAGUACUCGGGGGAGACGAGACCGGAGCUGUGGCUCGCGGACUACCGGCUGGCCUGCCACCUGGGUGGAACGGACGAUGACAACCUCAUCAUCCGCAACCUCCCCCUGUUCCUCUCCGACACAGCUCGAGCCUGGCUGGAGCACCUGCCUCCGAGGCAGAUCUCCAACUGGGACGACCUGGUUCAAGCCUUCGCCGGCAACUUCCAGGGCACAUACGUGCGCCCUGGAAACUCCUGGGAUCUCCGAAGCUGCCGCCAGCAGCCGGGAGAGUCUCUCCGGGACUACAUCCGGCGAUUCUCGAAGCAGCGCACCGAGCUGCCCAACGUCACCGACUCGGAUGUCAUCGGCGUGUUCCUCGCCGGCACCACCUGCCGCGACCUGGUGAGCAAGCUGGGUCGCAAAACCUCCACCAGGGCGAGCGAGCUGAUGGACAUCGCCACCAAGUUCGCCUCUGGCCAGGAGGCGGUUGAGGCCAUCUUCCGGAAGGACAAGCAGCCCCAGGGCCGCCAACCGGAAGAUGUCCCCGAGGCGUCCACUCAGCGUGGCACCAAGAAGAAGGGCAAGAAGAAGUCACAAGCGAAACGCGACGCCGCCGACGUGGACCUUGUCGCCGCCGCCGAGUACAAGAACCCUCGGAAACCUCCCGGAGGUGCCAACCUCUUCGACAAAAUGCUCAAGGAGCCGUGCCCCUAUCAUCAGGGGCCCGUCAAGCACACCCUUGAGGAAUGCGCCAUGCUUCGGCGCCACUUUCACAAGGCCGGGCCACCUGCGGAAGGUGGCAGGGCCCACGACGAUGAUAAGGAGGAUCAGAAGGCAGGAGAGUUCCCCGAGGUCCACGACUGCUUCAUGAUCUACGGUGGGCAAGUGGCGAACGCCUCGGCUCGACACCACAAGCAAGAGCGUCGAGAGGUCUGCUCGGUAAAGGUGGCGGCACCAGUCUACCUAGACUGGUCCGACAAGCCCAUCACCUUCGACCAGGGCGACCAUCCCGACCGCGUGCCGAGCCCGGGGAAAUACCCGCUCGUUGUCAACCCCAUCAUCGGCAACGUCAGGCUCACCAAGGUCCUCAUGGACGGAGGCAGCAGCCUCAACAUCAUCUACGCCGAGACCCUCGGGCUCCUGCGGAUCGGUCUGUCCUCGGUCCGGGCAGGCGCUGCGCCUUUUCACGGAUCAUCCCCGGGAAACGCGUCCAGCCCCUCGGACAACUCGAUCUACCCGUCUGCUUUGGGACACCCUCCAACUUCCGAAGGGAGACCCUCACGUUCGAGGUGGUCGGGUUCCGAGGAACCUACCACGCGGUGUUGGGGAGGCCAUGCUACGCCAAGUUCAUGGCCGUCCCCAACUAUACCUACCUCAAGCUCAAGAUGUCGGGCCCCAACGGGGUCAUCACCGUCGGCCCCACGUACCGACACGCGUACGAAUGCGACGUGGAGUGCGUGGAGUACGCCGAGGCCCUCGCCGAAUCCAAGGCCCUCAUCGCCGACCUGGAGAGCCUCUCCAAGGAGGCGCCAGACGUGAAGCGACAUGGCGGCAACUUCGAGCCAGCGGAGACGGUUAAGUCCGUCCCCCUCGACCCCAGCAACGACGCCUCCAAGCUGAUCCGGAUCGGCUCCGAGCUCGACCCCAAAUAGGAAGCAGUGCUCGUCGACUUUCUCCACGCAAACGCCGACGUUUUCGUGUGGAGUCCCUCGGACAUGCCUGGCAUACCGAGGGAUGUCGCUGAGCACUCGCUGGAUAUCCGAGCUGGAGCCCGACCCGUGAAGCAGCCUCUGCGCCGAUUCAACGAAGAAAAGCACAGAGCCAUAGGCGAGGAGAUUCACAAGGUAAUGGCGGCGGGGUUCAUCAAAGAGGUAGUCCAUCCCGAAUGGCUUGCCAACCCCUUGCUUGUGAGAAAGAAAGGAGGGAAAUGGUGGAUGUGUGUAGACUACACUGGUCUAAACAAAGCAUGUCCAAAAGUUCCCUACCCUAUGCCUCGCAUCGAUCAAAUCGUGGAUUCCACUGCUGGGUGCGAAACCCUGUCUUUCCUCGAUGCCUACUCAGGGUAUCACCAAAUCAGGAUGAAAGAGUCCGACCAGCUCGCGACUUCUUUCAUCACACCCUUCGGCAUGUACUGCUAUGUUACCAUGUCGUUCGGUUUGAGGAAUGCGGGUGCGACAUACCAAAGGUGCAUGAACCACGUGUUCGGCGAACACAUUGGUCGAACGGUUGAGGCCUAUGUCAAUGACAUCGUAGUCAAGACGAGGAAAGCCUACGACCUCCUUUCCGACCUUGAAGUGACAUUCCGAUGUCUCAAGGCGAAAGGCAUAAAACUCAAUCCAGAGAAGUGUGUCUUCAGGGUCCCCCGAGGCAUGCUCUUGGGGUUCAUCGUCUCCGAGCGGGGCAUCGAGGCCAACCUGGAGAAAAUCGCGGCCAUCACCAAUAUGGGGCCCAUCAAGGACUUGAAAGGCGUAUAGAGGGUCACGGGAUGCCUUGCGGCUCUGAGCCGUUUCAUCUCACGCCUCGGCGAAAGAGGCUUGCCUCUGUACCGCCUCUUAUGGAAGGCCGAGUGCUUCACUUGGACCCCUGAGGCCGAGGAAGCCCUCGGGAACCUGAAGGCGCUCCUCACGAACGCGCCCAUCUUGGUGCCUCCCACCGCUGGAGAAGCCCUCUUGAUCUACGUCGCCGCUACCACUCAGGUGGUUAGCGCCGCGAUCGUGGUUGAGAGACGAGAAGAGGGGCAUGCAUUGCUCAUCCAGAAGCCAGUCUACUUCAUCAGUGAGGUACUGUCUGAGACCAAGAUCCGCUACCCACAAAUUCAGAAGCUGUUGUACGCGGUGAUCCUGACGCGGCGGAAGUUGCGACACUACUUCAAGUCUCAUCCGGUAACUGUGGUGUCAUCCUUCCCCGUGGGGGAGAUCAUCCAGUGCCGAGAGGCCAUGGGUAGAAUUGCUAAGUGGGUAGUGGAAAUCAUGGGCGAGACAAUCUCGUUCGCCCCUCGGAAGGCCAUCAAGUCCCAAGUCUUGGCAGACUUUGUGGCUGAAUGGGUCGAUACCCAGCUCCCGACAGCUCCGAUCCAACCGGAACUCUCGACCAUGUUUUUCGACGGGUCGCUGAUGAAGACAGGGGCAGGCACGGGCCUGCUCUUCAUCUCGCCCUUCGGGAAGCACCUACGCUACGUGCUACGCAUCCACUUCCCGGCGUCCAACAAUGUGGCCGAGUACGAGGCUCUGGUCAACGGGUUGCGCAUUGCCAUCGAGCUAGGGGUCCGACGCCUCGACGCUCGCGGUGACUCGCAGCUCGUCAUCGACCAAGUCAUGAAGAACUCCCACUGCCGCGACCCGAAGAUGGAAGCCUACUGCGAUGAGGUUCGGCGCCUGGAGGACAAGUUCUACGGGCUCAAGCUCAACCACAUCGCCCGACGCUACAACGAGACUGCAGACGAGCUGGCUAAGAUAGCCUCGGGGCGAACAACGGUUCCUCCGGACAUCUUCUUCCGAGACCUGCAUCAACCCUCUGUCAAGACCGACGACACGCCCGAGCCCGAGAAGGCCUCGGCCCAGUCCGAGGCACCCUUGGCUCAGUCCGAGGCACCCUCGGCUUAGCCCGAGGCACCCUCGGCCCCCGAAGGUGAGGCACUAUGCGUCGAGGAGGGGCGGAGCGGGGUCACGCCUAAUCGAAACUAGCAGACCCCGUACCUGCAAUAUCUCCACCGAGGAGAGCUACCCCUCGACCGAGCCGAAGCUCGGCGAUUGGCGUGGCACGCCAAGUCGUUCGUCUUGCUGGGAGACGGGAAGGAGCUCUACCACCGCAGCCCCUCGGGCGUCCUCCAGCGAUGCAUUUCCAUCGCCGAAGGCCUGGAGCUCUUACAAGAGAUACACUCGGGGGCUUGCGGCCAUCACGCAGCGCCUCGGGCCCUUGUUGGAAACGCCUUCUGACAAGGUUUCUACUGGCCGACCGCGGUGGCCGACGCCACUAGAAUUGUCCGCACCUGCGAAGGGUGUCAGUUCUAUGUGAAGCAGACACACCUGCCCGCUCAGACUCUGCAGACCAUACCCAUCACCUGGCCGUUUGCUGUGUGGAGUCUGGACCUCGUCGGCCCCUUGCAGAAGGCACCUGGGGGCUACACGCACCUGCUGGUCGCCAUCGACAAAUUCUCCAAGUGGAUCGAGGUCCGACCCCUAAACAGCAUCAGGUCCGAACAGGCGGUGGCGUUCUUCACCAACAUCAUCCAUCGUUUUGGGGUCCUGAACUCCAUCAUCGCCGACAACGGCACCCAGUUCACCGGCAGAAAGUUCCUGGACUUCUGCGAGGAUCAUCACAUUCGGGUGGACUGGGCCGCCGUGGCUCACCCCAUGACGAAUGGGCAAGUAGAGCGUGCCAAUGGCAUGAUUCCGCAAGGGCUCAAGCCUCGGAUCUACAACAACCUCAACAAGUUCGGCAGGCGAUGGAUGAAGGAGCUCCCCUCGGUGGUCUGGAGUCUGAGGACAACGCCGAGCCGAGCCACGAGCUUCACACCGUUCUUUCUAGUCUAUGGACCGAGGCCAUCUUGCCCACAGACUUAGAAUACGGUUCCCCGAGGACGAGGGCCUACGACGACCAAAGCCAUCGAGCUAACCAAGAAGACUCACUGGACUAGCUGGAAGAGGCUCGGGACAUGGCCUUACUACACUCGGCGCAGUACCAGUAGUCCCUGCGACGCUACCACACCCGAGGGGUUCGGUCCCGAGACCUCCCGGUGGGCGACUUGGUGCUUCGGCUGCGACAAGGCGCCCGAGGGCGGCACAAGCUCACGCCUCCCUGGGAAGGGGCGUUCGUCAUCGCCAAGGUUCUGAAGCCCGGGACGUACAAGCUGGCCAACAGUCAAGGCGAGGUCUACAGCAACGCUUGGAACAUCCGAUAGCUACGUCGCUUCUACCCUUAAGAUGCUUUCAAGUCGUUCGUACACUUCGUUCACACACAAAGUCUAGUCAUCAAGGAAGGGUCAGCCUUGCCUCGGCAAGGCCCGAUCCUCCCUCGUGGGCUAGAAGGGUGGAACCCCCUCUGCGUCAAAAUUUUCCUCGGAAAAGAUCUUUUCUGCCAGAAUGUCUUUCGUGCUUUUCGACUGCUUCGAAAGUGGGAUCCUGAAAACGACGGAGUACACGUAAGCAGCCAAGGCUGACCGAGCCGAGCGACUCCUACGCCUCUGGGAUACGGAUACCUCACUCAUCACCUUCUGCGAUAAGUAACUCACGCUCGGAUAAGUGAUUCCGCGGACCGAACAAGUCUUCACGCUCGAAAACUUUUCUGUCGAAACGAUUUUUCGGGCCUUCUCGACUAUGUCGAUAGCAGAAUCCUACGGACGAGUAAGAGUACGCGUAAGCAGCAAGGCUGGCCGAGCCGAGGGACUCCUACGCCUCCGGGAUACGGAUACCUCACUCAUCACCUUCCGUGAAAAGUAACUCUCGCCCGGACAAACAAUUCUGUUACCGACAAAUAAGUCCAGAUACUCGAAACAAGAGGAAAAGAAACACAGCUUUACAACACGACGACAGUAUGUUUGGGCCUCGGUGGCCGCGGAAAACAUACGCACACUACAAGACAAACCGAUCCUGCAGGCUCGGACCUUGACAGUUGAAGGGAGCAGCGGCACCCUCGGCGUCAACUAAACCUUCGGCAAAGUCCGACCUAGCCUCGGACGGCAACACGGUCGAAGGAUCUUCGCUCCGAAGGACGACAUCAGCACCACGCCCGGGCCAUCGCCGCCAGGGUCUUCUCCAGGAAUCCGGCCCGAGCAGACGGCUCGACCGGCCACCCCGAACCUCAGCCAGCUGUCCCCCGAGGACACCAGCCCGGCUCGUGGCCUCGGCAACUCGACUCCGGCGCUGGUCCCGCCAGUGGACAGCCUGGCCAGGCUCCGGCCGACGAAGUCUCCUUUUCGAGCCAACUCUGCCUCUGUCCACGCUGACACCGCUACCUCCGGCUUCGGCUCAUCGAAGAGCGGCCGAGGGUUCCUUUAACUAAGCAAGAGAAGCCUCGGGCAGCAAGGCCGACCGAGCCGAGGGACUCCUACGCUUCCGGGAUACGGAUACCUCACUCGUCACCUUCGCACGAGGCAACUCACGCUUGGUGAAGCGGUUCAGAUAGCUGACAGGCGAGUCCUAGUGCUCGAAAUAAGGAAAAGACACGGCUCCGUGCCGAAAAUACAUACAUGUUUAGGCCCCGACAGCCACAAUGAACAAGACACCGGCACUUAAGGUGCCAUUACAAACGGAACUCCGGUUCCGUCCCCGCGCGUAUGAACAACCCCCACACCGGGGAGCCUGCGGGGCGACAAGCUCCGGGCGACUCGCCAGCGACCUCUGUAGCAGCAGCCAUGGUCCCAGGACGGACGCAGCCACCGGAAGGCUCUCGUUCGCGUCCCCGCUCAAGGGACACGAACCAGACAUUAAAGCCAAAGAGCCGAAGGUCGGUCCGUAGGCGGCGUUGACGGCCUCGACGGUGGGGAAGCUUCCUCCAGCUGCCACCACGUCAGCACCGACGGCGGCGUCCGCCUCUCCACCAACGCCCCACCGGCGAGCGCGGGCCGCUCCAAAGCGCACAGGCAGGUCCUCGCUCCCGUCCUCGCCACGAAAGCGAGGAGGAGGACAGAAUGUUGCAUCCUAGCUGGGCAGCAACAGUUUGCCUUCCCUGGCAUGGCUGGAGGACGCCUCCCCCGUAGAGCUGGAGGAUGGUUUCCACCACCAGAAGCUGGAAGAGGAGGUGGCCAGCCGACCCGUGCGGGAGGUAGAGCUCCGGCUCGCCUCGCUCUCCGCCCCAGCCAGGAUGAUGAUGAUCCUUGAGGCUGAGGGCGGGACCAAGAUCGCAGCCCGGCUUGCUUCUCCCCACCCAGGAGCUGGUGGUCACCGUCUUGGGUGACCCCCGGCGAGGGGAUGCGGCCGGGCUGCCUGAUGAAAAUCCUUGAAGUCGAACGAUGGCUGAAAGGUACAAACUUCCGCGAAGUUGCGUUCCUCCAACGACAAGGCGGAAGGAUUGCGAGUGUUCCCCAUCCGGGGGCUCGGAAGGUGGAAAGACGCGAUGCAUAAGGGAGCGCGAAGACAUGGUUGCCUUUCAAGGGGGUCGCCCUCCUUUUAAAGGCAACUCUCCCCACUUGCGUCCUCAGCCAUCGCGGGCUGAGUCUUCUCCAACACGCUCCAAGGUCCUCCCCCUACGACACGGGGGCUGGGUCCCACGCGUCAUGCAAAGCUGGCCCAGGGCAGAAGAAGCCAAGCCGCCACGCGCGGUGCGCGCAACUGCCCAGCGGUUACAAGCAUUCCUCCACUUUCGCCCAGACCAGCGGGCGAAAGGGCGGACAACCAUGCAGGCGGCAUGCAACCGCGCCGAGUGGGCGCGCCCCUUCGACUCCAACGCGCCCAGCAUGGAGGCCUAGGCCCACACGUCAUGCAACCGGAGCGCCGGUUGCUACGUGCGAGCAACUGCACCGCCCCUCACGCCACUACCGUGCCUCCUUGACUGCGGAACCAGUACCGCGACUCGAGGCGACCCUGCGUAUGACCCAACAGUGCCAGCCAGGCACAUCGAUCACGGGUCAGUCAGCCGCGGGAGGAGGCGCGACGGUCGAUACGGCCGAAAAUGGGCCGACAGUAAUGGCGGUGGCAGGCGGGCGGAAGCAGCGGUCACGUCGUCAGCCAAGCUCACGUCCCAUCCGGGAACAGCAAGGGAGCCCUCCCUCACGGCGUGAAGACGGCGCGCCUGUGUUCCGUUCCUCGAACGGCUCGCACACGCGCAACGGCUGCCCCGUAAACCACUCGUCCCGUCGCAUUAACUCUGCGGCAGGACAGGCGGCACCUUUGGCAGGAGAAGCGGGCGACGCUUCACCUUCGCCAUAAUGAUCGCGUCAAAAAAAAGGUGUGCCACGUCAUUCGAUUUCGUAUCCUUUUCCUUUUCCUCUUUCUCUCUCUUACAACAGGGACCGGGAAAGGGGGAUACCCCGAAAGGGAUCCUUCUCCGCGAAGGAAAUGGGCCCUGAGCCCCCCUACUGAUCAGAGGUUCGAAGGCUGGCCCCUCGGAGGGGUUCAACAGCCGCCUCAGAGCGCUCGGGCUCCGCGCUCGCUACUGUUCAGAGGUUCGAAGGCUGGCCCCUCGGAAGGGUUCAACGGCCGCCUCAGGCCACUCGGGCUCCACGCCCACUACUGAUCAGGGGUUCGUAGGCUGGCCCUCGAAUGGUUCACAGCCGCCUCAGACGCAGAGCGAGGGAUGGCCCUGGGUACGUUCGAUACAUAACCAAGGCUCAGGCUACGCUCUCGAGGUACCCUAGGACAUUUUCGAGACCAGCGGGAACGAUCUUGUAACGGAAUCCCAUCAGAGGGAGGCAUCGAGCCCUCGGACCCCGUCAAAAGGGGACCGGGUCCGGCAGAUCACCCGCAGGUACUUUUGGAGCGCGCCUCCGGGCCUCUAGCCGACCCCUAACAAAUGGGGCACGGGCGUCCACUCGGAUUACCCGUUAGCAGCUCACUGGAGACACCAUGUUCGGCGCCCUCCAAGGGCAACAUGGCGCUUUUCCCCCCUCCUCCUUGCGGAAAGGCGACGCAGGGGCGUAUGUAAAAAAGUCGAGUCUGUCCUUGACCGCCCUCUCGCUCUGUGCGGAGGCUCAGGGGCUACUCUCGCAAACCCGGCUCCGGCCAAACCGUUGACAGCGUCAACAUACCAGCCCGAGAACUUGGGACCCGACCGUGCACCCGGGCUACGGCCAGCUCGCAUGAGGGAACAACCAGACCGACCGAAGCAUCGCGAAACGCAUUAAGACCUCGAAGGAGUCAAACCACUCCUCCGAGGCCUCGGGGGCUACACCCGGCGGGUGCGCUCGCGCGCACCCACCGGAACGAAACGCAACCGAGAAAGGCCGGUCCCCUUGCAAAAAAGUGCGACAAAAGCCUCCAAGCGAGUAUUAACACUCCCUUCGAGGCUCGGGGGCUACUGUCGGGGACCAUAAUUAGGGAUACCCCCAAGACUCCUAAUCUCAGCUGGUAACCCCCAUCAGCACAAAGCUGCAAAGGCCUGAUGGGUGCGAUUAAGUCAAGGCCCGGUCCACUCAAGGGACACGAUCUCGCCUCGCCCGAGCCCAGCCUCGGGCAAGGGCAGCCGACCCCGGAGGAUUUACGUCUCGCCCGAGGACCCCCUCCAGCAACGGACACACCUUCGGUUCGCCCGAGGCCCAGUCUUCGCCAAGAAGCAACCUUGGCCAAGUCGCCACGCCAACCGACCAUAUCGCAGGAGCAUUUAAUGCAAAGGUGGCCUGACACCUUAUCCUGACGCGCGCCUUUAAGUCGACUGAGCCGAAGUGACCGCCGUCACUUCGCCGCUUCACUGACCAGCCUGACAAGAAGACAGCGCCGCCCGCGCCACUCCGACUGUUGUGCCACUCGACAGAGUGAGGCUGACAGCAGCCAAGUCCGGCCUCAGGCGCCAUAGGAAGCUCCGCCUCGCCCAACCCAGGGCUCGGACUCGGGCUUAGCCCCGAAAGACGGCGAACUCCGCCUCGCCCGACCCAGGGCUCGGACUCGGGCUCAGCCCCGGAAGACGACGAACUCCGCCUCGCCCGACCCAGGGCUCGGACUCGGGCUCGGCCCCGGAAGACGACGAACUCCGCCUCGCCCGACCCAGGGCUCGGACUCGGGCUCAGCCCCGGAAGACGACGAACUCCGCCUCGCCCGACCCAGGGCUCGGACUCGGGCUCAGCCCCGGAAGACGACGAACUCCGCCUCGCCCGACCCAAGGCUCGGACUCGGGCUCGGCCCUGGCCUCAGCCGACGGUCUCCGCCUCGCCCGACCCAGGGGCUCGGCCUCAACCUCGGCCUCGGAAGACAGACUCGACCUCGACCUCGGAGGAGCCUCCACCUCGCCCAACCCAGGGCUCGGACCGACCACGUCACAGGAGGCGCCAUCAUUACCCUACCCCAAGCCAACUCAGGCUACGGGGAACAAGACCGGCGUCCCAUCUGGCUCGCCCCAGUAAACAGGUAAUGAUGGCGCCUCGCAUGCUCCAUGAUGACGGCGGCUCUCAGCCCCCUUACGGAAGCAAGGAGACGUCAGCAAGGACUCGACAGGCCCGACAGCUGUCCUUCCGCCAGGCUCCAGCGCUCCUCCGACGGCCACGACACCACACGAACCGGGUGCCAAAACCUCUCCGGCUGCCACGACGGCAUGUACUUAGGGCACUAUCUCUUCUCCGCUAGACACGUUAGCACACUGCUACACCUCCCAUUGUACACCUGGAUCCUCUCCUUACGCCUAUAAAAGGAAGGUCCAGGGCCCUCUUACAAAGGGUUGGCCGCGCGGGGAAGGACGGGACAGCGCUCGCGUAAGCCUCUCGCUCCCUCCCGCGUGGACGCUUGUAACCCCCUACUGCAAGCUCACCCGACCUGGGCGCGGGACAAACACGAAGGCCGUGGGUUUCCCCUUUUACGCCUGUCUUCCUCCGGCUCCAUUUCCCCCCUUCGCGCUCCGUGUCGCGCCGACCCAUCUGGGCUGGGGCACGCGGCGACAAUUUACUCGUCGGUCCAGGGACCCCCCGCGAAACGCCGACACACAGAAUCCACAAUCGUUUUCCAGGACAACAGAAAUACCACAUGAGCAGUUGAGCACAACUCAGAUUUAUAGAAACGAAUGCACUUUACACUUUCAGUCCUACCAGAAGCUUGAAAGGUUCUUCAGCCAUUAUGGCAGCAAGGCCCAUGAGUAAUAAACUUGGGUAUGACCCAUGAACUGGACCAUUUCGGUCUAAACAAAAGCACUAAAAUUCAAAGUCUAUCAUAGAGCCCUACAUAGAGCCCAAACAUGAAACAAUUCAUUCAGCUAUAACAAAAAAUCAGAUGCAACUGGCAACAAUCAAAAUUUAUGAAUAAUCACAAACCUCGUAUAUUCUAUUGAUUCGAAAAUGUAGGCAAACAAAAGUAUCCUUUUCAUUUAUCAUUCCGCAGGUAGACACUUACCUGUGUUUCAUGCGUAUUUGAAAUUGCAGAGGGUCUUGCCGUCCGUGUCCACGCGGAACGGGCCUAUCUCCUGGAAGGCUCCGAUUCCAAACGAAGAGCAGCCAGGCCCUGCAGAAAUGCACUCCGUCCCAUUAGUACCACUGCCAUCUACCUGGGGUGAAUUUAUAGCUAUAAAUAAACGCGAUCAAUGCUACCCAUUUCCACUGGACAGUGGUAUAUACCUUUUCUCAUUCAGACUUCCAAAACUAACCAAUUUAUUUUCAAAUCAUUGAAAUUAAAACAACCAAAGCUAACUUAAGAAAAAAAAUGUUGGCACAUCUAGAUGCAGACAUAAAAAGAUAUGAGUUUGCAAGCCCAAGACGACCCCAGUCCAACGAAACAUUCUCAUCAUUGGGACCUCCUUUGUUUCCAAAUUUCUUGAGCAGCCCAAGAACAAAAUCAGAAAGGGGUGAUUCCCAGAAACGAUUGAGACCUUACUGAUGAUACCAAACAAGUGGUAAGGUCCAACAGCGUUCUCAUCAACUAUUUGCUCCCUGGGCCUCUGAAUUGCUGCAGAAAGAUAACACACACUUAGUUUUUAAUCAUAUUUCUGCUAGCAUCAUCAGUGGUUAGUAAGUACUGUAUAGUAUCAAAAGUGAGUAAAAAUACAACACGACACUAAAGGCUUUGUUUCGAGUCAGGAUUGAACAUUUGGCCAUGAAAGAACUUCAUGUAUGUUAUCUAAUAUGUUAAAAUUGCAAGAAUGGAUUUCCUAAAAUGGCUGUAAUAUCACCCUUGUUAAAUUACUGCAAUGCUCCUUGUCUUAUCCUACUGAAAUGUAUUCCGAAAAGAGAGAGAUGCAUUUGAUAAGCAGAAGUAAUAUUGAGUCCAUGAAUGCAGUGAUAGUAUGUUUUAUAGAAAAUGCAGUGAUAGUAUGACCAUAUCAGUAACUCAUUGAUAGAUGAUAGAGCACUCAAGAAAUUCACUGACAGAAAUUAGAUUACAUAGUAAGUCGCAUCCUAUUCGAGUGCAACUCGCUUAAAAAUAAUGGUUAAAUUCGCCAACAUGGUGGUUGCCAGCAUAGCGGAGAGAUCACCACCCAAAUCAUGAAAACGGCGUUUCCAUGACCCACCAAAAGCAAAUUGCACUUACCAAGCUGGUGGAGGCUCUCCACCUUGUUGAUAAUGGAGCAGAACUUAUAAGAGUCCACACUUGUCAUCCCAUCCUUCUAAUCUACACACCAACAUAACCGGUCCUGCUGCCUUUGUGUCUGUAUGGCCCUAGAAACACAGAAUCAAAGUUCAGGAGACUUGAGUACAGAUCAUGCCACCCAUGUUCGCCCAAUCUCUCAUCGGUUUGUGCCAAGAGGCAGUGCAUGAUGGUAUAUGACAAAAAGCAUGCAAAGGAGCACGCGACAUGGGCAUUGAGCUGCAAGUACCUAAGGGCCAUAAGAAGCUUCAUUUUGUCUGAAUUCUUAUCAGCACUAACAAUGGUUCAUCCAAAAAAUAGUGCAUAUUGAACAAAGAGCAUUACCUCUCAAUCUGCUUUCUAUGUCAGAACAAUUGAAAGUCCUCUCAUGAGUCUCAUCAAGAACAAUCACCUUGUACUUCUCUCAAAGUGGGUCUACCAUUGCUUCUCUUAGAAGCAUACCAUCUGUCUGAUGUCUGAUAGGAAGCAGUAGUGUUCAACAGAACAUGAUUAGAUCAGAACACCUAAAAAGAAAAGAAACAUAAACUCCAUAUCAAUCUACCAAAAGGCUACUGCCACUAAUGAUAUUCGUAAAUGAAAGAUAAAAAAUAAAAAGGAUUAUCUGAGAACAGUUUGUGGCUGUUGCAAUCCUUAAAUUGAAUGUUGUAACCCACUUCUUCCCCAAGAGUAACAUCCAUCUCCUCUGCCACACGCCUAAAGACUGAGAAUGUUGCGACCCUCCGAGGAUGGGUGCAGGCAACCAUGGAUGAAAAGCCCAUUAUCAAGUGUCAACUCCACUUGACAAAAGGUGCAAAACACAACAAACAGGAAACAAAAGAACAUCCUGCAAUUUUUUCCACUUGACAGCAAAAACUGCAAGCAGCAAAAACAACAAACUCUAUACCACUUGACAACCAGACUGCAUUUUUUCCACAAAACGUGCAAAAACAACAAACAAUUAAAAUUAACCUUGUUCUUAGUUAGUUUCUUUUCAUCACAAAUUUAUACCAGUAAAUGAGCUUCCCACAUUGCUGCAGCCUUAUAUACCUCACAAGUUUUUACAGUAUGGUAUAAGGCAUCAAAUAUGGUAAUAACUAUAUAGCCUUGUUAAUUUUAUUAAUCAACUUGAAGAGAUGGGUAUACAGUAUGGUACCAUGGAAAUGCUAUAUAGUUAAAAUGCGACAUUGAACUGGAGCAUAUGUUGGUGGUAUAGAAUGGAUAGGUCAUAGACAUAUUUUGUGCUUUAAGAUAAACAUUCUUGCUGAUUUAGCCUUGCAAAAUAAUAUAUUUUCUUUUGUAGUUCAUAGGAGCAAAGAGAUCCAAGAAAAUCAAGACAAGUGGGUAUCUAAAAUCAAGACAUGUCUGGUAAUGAGAAGCUAACCAGAUUUGGAAUCCCACAAUGUUCUAAACACAAAUGAAUACCAGACGAUGCUUUGCUGCUACAACAAAUUUUGAAAAAUCGCAAAUUUACAACAAAGUGGUUAGAAUCAUAUAUGGAAGUCUAAACAAUUACAGAUCCUUGGCAACAAAGUUAGAUCAGGUCCCUGUUCUCUAAACCAAGGAGGUAACACACAGAUGCAGAAUCAGACAUGGGACUGGAUCCAUGAGCUUUGGUGUUACCUGAGCGGGAGCAGAUGAGAGCAGUUGCGAGUAUCUGCGAACCACCACCACGUAUCAAUGAAGCAGUCAAGACGCCAUCUCCACGGCUGGAGAAGCAAUAGGGGGAUUUAGGCCACUCACGGCAUGAGGUAGGUGCUGAACGUGUACCACACCAGGAUGUAGAACCCGGUCUUGGGCACAACAAUAGGCGCCAGCGAGGUGCGCUCCGCACGCUCCAUCGACUCAAGCUUGGUGGUAGACUCACUGGGCUGAAGCCUCCCGCCCGAGAUGGCACAUCCCCGCACGGUCCAUCGGCAAGCUUACGACGGCGAGAGUCGGGCACGGGUGGAGGCGCCGCGAGCGAGAGGCUUAUCUUCUCCUCCAAUCGGACCUAGUACACUUGAAAUUGGUUCGGAUCUGAAUAAAAAUGGCUUAAUCGCGCCGGUGCCGAGGCCCUCACCAGUCACCACCCCCUCCCCCCUUGCGUCUGUCCCCGCUUGCCGCCACCGCCGCUGCCCGCUCGCGAUCCUUCCCCUUUUUAACGCUCCCGCGGCCCGCAUCGUGCUCCCUUUUGUCGUCGCUACCUUCGUGGCCGUACUCGCAGGUUCUCCUCGCUCCUCAAUCUCCACGCCUAGGCGCGGCGUUCGCGGGAUCUAGGCGCGGGACGGUGCCCCCGACGGUCGAUGGCACGGGCGGCGCUCCAGUGUUGGGCACAACAACAGGCGUCUAGCUGCCUCACCGUAGAUGAAUGAAACAUACCAAGCGACGGCGGCAUAGCGGGGGUCAGGUGUUGAGGAGGCGGAGGAACUCCGCUGCGGUGAGGCUGACAGCGCGGUGGUGAAGCUGUGUUAAGGUUUAGGUGGAGCAGAACCUACAUCUCGCGGGGAUCCAGGGCUGGCGGGGCUAGCGUCACCGAGGGUUGGGGUUAGGGGCGUGGACGGGGCCUAGGAGACAGGGCUCGCGUUGAUGGCGGAUCGGCGUUGAUGGCGGGGAGCAGAGGGGAGGAGGGUGAGGGAUCCACGACGCGACAACCAAACUUGGCAGAACCGUGCACCAAAGUGACUGUGGACGCCUACACUGUUCUUAAGCAGUAGUAGAGAUAAGACAAUUCCCAACAAUCGUAUUUAUCAUCAUCUCCAUAUUUAAACUUCACUCUACAAAAAAUUUAAUCCACAAUGUAAAUUAGUGUUUUGUGUAACCAUAUGAUUAAGCUGCUACAAAAGCCUAACACCGUGUUUGGUUAAUAAUGAGAUUGUAGAAUAAGAUUCUAAAAAUGAGUCCGGAAACAAUCAGGGCCUAUCAUCAAAUUUUUUAAUAGCUUAUAAUCUCAUAUGGAAUUGCAAAACUCCUAUUAUGACGACGCUAAAACUGUGCAGUUCAUCAGCCUUUACAAUUACAGCCAAGAAAAGAAAAUGAAAAAAACAAAACCUAGGAAAUAGUCGGCUGCUCGGCGUCCAAAACCUUUUCUUUAAGCAAACACCGCAAUGGUUGCAAAACUGCACUUGGUGUGCCACUGUGCCUUGUGAAAUGAGAUGACCUCCUCUGCUCAGGCGGCUGGCAGCUGCAGCCGCAGGCCGAUGAGGCUCGACGCGGCGCUCAAGCCGCUCGAGUCGCAGCACGACAGCCUCGGCUGCUGCCUGACGACUGGCUCGAAGCCGAGCGUGAGUUCCAGCCUGACCUCCUCACCCUCCUGGUCCGCCACCAGCGCCUGGCUCUGGCUGCUGACCGGCGGCUCGGCCUCGGCCUGGCUCACGUGGGAGGCGGCCUCCACGUCGGUGUCCUCCUCCGACCCCUGCGGCUGCAGGUGGUGGUGGUGGUCGUGGCUGCCGGCGGACUCCUCGCCGUGCUCAAGCUCGACGACCAUCGGCACCGGUUCCAGCUCCAGCUCCUCCGUCUCCUGCUGAUGCUGCCUCUGAGUAGGGCUGGGCGACGCGCGCUCGUUGCUGCUAGCCUUUCCCUUGAGGGGUUUCGCCUUGCAGGCGUUGGAAGACGAGCCGGCGCGCUUGAACCUCCUGCGGCCGCCGCCGCGCGCGACGCGGAGGAGGUCGGCGGCGGCGACGGCGUCGGGAUCCCUGGCGACGUGGCGGAUAUCGUAGGCGGCCGGCGGCGCGGCUGGCCUGCUGGCGCCGAGCAGCGGCGCCGGGGCGGCGGCGGCCUCGGAGCCGGCGUCGACCUGCACGACGGGGUCGCCCUUGAGCACGGCCUCGACGGCGUCGACGCAGCUCUGCCACCGGCGCGACCAGAGCAGGCCGACGGAGCCGUAGACGGGGUUGACGAUGCGGCCGCACGCCUCGUAGAGCAGGGAGCGGAAGACGGCCGGGCGGGCGGCGUCGUCGGGCGCGGCGGCCAGCAGGUUGAGCAGCCCCGCGCGGCCGUAGAACUUGGCGAGGAAGACGGUGGCGUUUGCCUGCGCCUCGGGGCUGUCGAUCCACUGCAGGCAGGGGCGGAUGGUGCAGGCGUCGCUGCAGCCCUUGCGCAGGACGCGGCAGCCGUUGCAGCUCAUCCGCAUCUUCGGUCGGUCGGUCGGUCCUCUCCUCCCGGCGGUGGUGGUGAUGGUGGGCGCACAGAUCGCGAGCUUGCUACUGUGUGCUGCUAACCUAUACGAAUCCGGCCGCGCCCAAGUUGUUGGAGAGGGAGGGAGUGGGUGUGCGGUUUUUAUAAGCGGAGACCGGAGAGAGCAGUGGGUUGGGCGCCUGUGGUUUUGGAGAGGCGGGGGAAGGCGGAUUCGGCUCCACCCGCCGCGUGGUUCCUGUCCUGCCCGCCCCCCUUUGCAAGAAGCCGCGUCCGAGGAAAGGAUUCUAUUACAAACUGGAGGCGGGCGCACGUGGACUGGCAGCCGCGCCAAGCUAGCGGGGGGAACUUGGAAAAGGCCGGAAGAAACGUGGGGGCGAGCCAAACGGAAAGGCAAAGGGAAACCAGGCGGUUGGGUGGAGGAGGGCUCCCGGUUUUGUGGAAAUCGUACAGCGACGCCCCUGUUUCCGCUGCCUCUGUGGGCGGGAGCCAAUACCGUGGGCGGGUUCUGGAUUUGGUCCCCUCCUACCCACCGUCUCGUCUCUCGCCAAUCCCCUGCAUCAACGUUGAUGUUGACCUUGUCCAACCGGAAGGAAUGAGCCUAUGAAUGACUGGAUAUCCAUUCUUUCCCUAGGCAUAUGUGGCAGAUUUGGUACAAAUCAAACUAUGUUAGAUUUAAUUAAGUACAUAAAAGUCCUAUUGAUAAUUAUACUGUAUGAUAUGAUACUCUAUUCUACAGUUAAUUUAAUACUUCAUCCGUACUCGAAUAUUUAUCAUCCGCUAGUUUAUUUUUAACUAAAAUACGAUAAAUAAAAAAAACGAAGGGAGUAGUACUUAUUUCUAUUUUAUAUUCAUAAAAUUUUGGUUUUCUAUUUUACACUUUUCAUUCUAAAAUAUCCGAUAGCAGGUUCUAUGUGGGUGUGUUACUCAGGUUGGCAAUUCUCUUUUGUCUAAAAAAUGUUUUCAAACCUGACAACUUUUCCGGCAAGUCUUUCUAGUUAAAGUAACAAGUAGAAAAAUUCAUCUUUUUUUAUUUGGUAUAGCGUAGCAAAAACACCAAAUACUAAGGGAGGUUUAAAUACACUAUAGCUAAUAGUUAGUGGCUAAAAUUAGUUGAGACAUCUAAACACCCUAGCUAAUAGUUUAGCUAUUAGCUAUUUUUGGUAAAUUAGUUAAUAGUUAGGUAGCUAUUUAUUAACUAGCUAAUUUGACUAACAAUUUUUAAACAACUAACUAUUAGUUUUAGUUCAUCCAAACGGGUAACCAAGAGUAAGUCGUAAGACCAUAGGAUAUGUCUAUAGAGUCAUGACACCACAAAUUUGACACAUAUUUUUUUAUAGGUGGCAAUUACGCCAGUGGUCCUGUUUUAGAGAAUAAUUGUAGAUUUAUCCAUGUUUUCUAGACUUUGCUUCGAUGCUUCUGUUUUUUUAAACAAAACUAUUGUAUGUCUCUCCUCCGUUAGUUGUACUUGAUGGUAUUAAGUCUUAAUAAAUAAGACAAGGAACAAUUGUGUCAUUGCCUCUAUUUUAGAGUGUAACUCUUGUUUUACUCCUAUUUUUAGACUUUAUGUGUUUUUAUGACAAUUCAAUUUAUUUCCGCAAAAAAUCAAAAUAUUUUGGACAGCUAAAAAAUAUUAUGACAAACUAUUCAAAUUGAUGCCAGGAGGUAAAAUAAUUUAAAUUGUUGACAAAAUAAUUUGUCAAGUUAUUAUUUUGGAAAUAAUUUAGAUUAUUGUAAAAUAAGUUGAAUUGUUGUCAAAAUAAUUUAAAAUGUUGUGUAAAUAACUUGAAUUGUCAUAAAACAUGUAAGUCUAAAAAAUAGGGUAGAACUAUAAUUACAUUCUAAAACGGGGGCACUAGCACAAUUAUCUCUUGUCCUUUUAUUAAUACUUAACCCAUUAAGUGCAACUAACCGCACUGGCACAUUUAUCUAAAACACAUAUAAUCACACUCUGAAACAGGGGCACUGGAAUAAUUAUCUAAAAACGCAUAUAUAAUUACACUCUAAAGCAGGGGCACUAGCACAAUUAUCUCUUAUCAAUUUAUUAAGAAUCAACACCAUUAAGUACAACUAACGGAGUAGAGACAUAUGUCACACCCGGGCUUUAAGAAAUAAAGCCGGGUGUAUCUCAUACAUGCGACAAAGAAGACAACACAUAUAAUAACAGAGUGUAUAGAGAUAAAUGUCACAAUAAUCAGAGUACUUAUUACAUAGCGGAAGACUUACAAAAAUAAAAGAUGAAUAUAACAGGAUCUAAAAUAUAUCCUUGGCGCCAGAAAGCUGACUGAGAGACGCCACCUAAAUCAAGUCGAAAGCCUCAGUAUUAGGCAGCUCCUCUUCGACCACCUGUUCUUCUCCUGCGGGGGUGUGAGACAGCAAGAGUGAGCUCACACAUGUUCAUCGCUCAACAAGUUGUGGGUAAUAAUGUGCAUGAACUCACCAAAGGUGGUAGUUCAUGUGAAGUGUAAGGCUGAUCAAUAAGAUAAAGGUUGAAGCAGAGCAUUGCUUUUAUAUGUUGGUCAAAAUUUUAUUAACAGUUACUAAGUGUAAGUAAAUACCAAACCAUAGUAAUAAUAAGUAAAAGUAAUAAUAAAAUAAUCCCAAUGCAAUGAAAUGACAAAUUGAGUUUAAGUUCCAUAAAUUAAUCAUGUGAGUGUCCGAGUCGCUCAUGGCCGUGAGCACGGCUAGUAUACCAGUUUUACACUCUGGAGAGGUUGCGCAUCUUUACCCACAAGUCGUGUUACCCAUUUACCACGGAGUUGAUUAGACCCCAUACACCUCUACCAAGGAAGCGAGACAGGGUACCACUACGAGGCCUUUACAAAGUUCCACUAGCUUCAGAAAACCCGCUACAGUUUAUAGGAAGCUCCAGUGCAGGAAUCUUUCGCGUGACCGCCAUCGCAGCAAAAUCAACCCAAGGACCUCCCUACACUGACUACUCCCCUACUGCCCUUGCCCCUUGCGGGUAAGGUAGUCAUCCACUAGCUUUCCUAGUUAAUCAGCCAAGGGCGUCCCAUUAAACCCUUGUGGUAGCACUGUUUUCCCGGGUAGUUCUUCAUGUUCCCAUUAACAUAAUGACCUUAUCAUGAACAGUAAUAAUAAACAGAUAAUAAAAAGUAUAACAAUGAGUGAUGAAUAUCUCUACACCCAAAGCCACAUAAAGCAAUAGUAUGUACUACCCAAAAAUUUUGUAGUAAAACCAGUGGUGAAACAAGGUAUAAAGAUAGUCAAAAUCUAUGGUAACCUAUUGGGUCCCAGCAAAAUUAACCUAUACAGAUCAUUAUAAAUAAUAAAAACAUGAAUGGGUAAAAGUAAGUGAUCAAGGGCACAACUUGCCUUCAACGAGCUCCUGCUCAGCAACUUCUACUAGUUGAGGCCCUGGAUCCUUUGUAGCUUGCUCGUCUACUCGCAUCAACACAAUACAUACAUAGUAUAACAAAAUUUAACAUCACACCAAACAUGUAGAUAAAAUACACAAUAAUAAUCUAGACAUUAAAAUAAGAUCAUAGGAACUAGAAUCAUUAAAUUUGGAGUUAUAGAUUUUAAGUUAUGAAUUUCUAAAGGUUAUAUGUAUUUAAUAUAAGAUUAAGUACUAGAUAAAUUUUAAUGUGUCUUUCAUGUCAAAACAGUGACACUAAUGGAUGGACAAUAAUAUUACAAAAAAUUAGGAACUAGAAUGGACCAAUUUGGAGUUCAUAUGGAUUUUCUACAAUUUAAACAAGUUUCUGUAAUUAAUUUAAUACUAAAAAUCUAUUUUUAAAUUAGUUUCUCUGGUUUUUCUUUUCUCUAGGCUGGGCCUCAAUAUCUGGAAAACACAGGGGUUCUGGCGCAAAAGAAACCGAGACACAGAGGCUCACCCGAGGGGACUGUGGGUUGGUUUCCUGAAAACAGAGGGGCCUAGGUGCAAAACUGCGCCCGCGAAGAGGUAUUGCCUGAUCCAAACCAUCAGAUCUAAACCGACGGCUGUUGGGGACUUGUUCUCAAAUGCUAUGAAUCAAGAACAAGGCAACAUAAAAUGUUAAAUGUUAAUAUCCUUCGUCCUUCUAAGCAUUAUUUCCCUAAGGAUAUAAUGAUUUUCGGACGAAGGUUAUGAAGGACAUAUCUUCAUCAGCAUAAAAUAUAAUAAUGAAGAAGGAAUCAUAUGAAACAUAAAGAUAACAUAAACAGUUGUGUACUAUUGUCGACUCAUUUCCAUUUUAUUAUGAUGGAAAGAUAAAAAUGAUAUCAAAUUAUAAGUGUACCUUCAGCUCGUGAGAAGGUAAAAGCACAAGUGUGACGCAAAAGCCAAUGCCAAAUCAGCGUGAACAGUACGGGGAUACUGUUCACCUAUUUAGGCAUGGGUCGCAGCCCACGCAAAAUUACAUUAAUGCCCUUUACAUUUAUCAAUAACUCUAUGAUAAUUCUUCGAGGUCUAAUCUGUUUUUUCAUCUUUAAGUCGGUUUCCUUUUCCGCCGCUAUUCUGAAGCUCUUCUACACACAGCUUCGGCUCUGCGCCAACCUUCGUGUUCUUUGUGCUUCUUCGUACCGUGGCUCUGAUCCGAGUCCGAAGAUACCUGUUAAUGUACUUUACUCCAGAAACAUUGUUAAAUCAUGUUUUUGAGGACCUUCGGAAGCCGAAGGCCCCCAACAACGGCCCAGAUUAGACUUCUAACACUUUGAACUGGUAUUCACUCUCAACCGUCGGAUGCACGAUCCGCGGUCACGAUUUUUAAAUGCUCCAAUCUACUCGUGUGCGCACGAUUUGGAUCCAACGGUCGAGCACAGCCCUAGCCAAACCGAGCCACAUAUUUGAUCUGGACUGUCCAUCUCAAAGCCUACAGCCAGAUCACUACUCUGAACCGAUCAAAUCAAAGCCGCUCAGAUAGGAUCGAGUGGCCAGCACGUGUUCUACUCCCCGGCCGACCGAACGGACGGCGGCGCCGCCCUGGUGGUCAAAACUCGUCGGCGAACCCCACUGACCGGCGCAUCCAAGCACUAUCCCCCUGAUUCUACCAGCGCAAAAUGAUAAGGGCAGCCGCGCGAGCACGGAUGGUGCAGACUCACCGACGCUUGUGGCGUUGAAUUCCCUGGCGACGGUGAGGUGCGGCACCGCGGCGGAUGUAAGGCUUUGGCGAGCGAUUCACCAGCGUCUGGUCACCCAAGUCACGCGAGAAAGUUCCAGAACCAAGAGGUAUACCCUGGCGACGGUCCCCGAUCACAACCCGAGGCCGAAACGGCGACAUGACCACGAAUCUGUCGUGGCGGCGGGACUAUCUGAAAGGGAAAUGUGCCCUUGGGCCAUUUCUAUAAGAUUUUGGUGAUUAAGUGCCCAACACACAUUAAGGGAAUGAGUAUAUGCCAAAGGGUGGACAAAGUGCAAAUCAAUACAAAGGUAUGAUUCUAGACUUAGUACAUUGGUUUUUGUGUACUAACAUAUUUGUCUAAGUGCUAGAAUCAGAGAAAAGACAAUUGGAAAAGACUUGGCUCGAGUAGCCAAGAUUCUGCUCAGUCUGGGUGCACCGGACUGUCCGGUGGUGCACCGGACAGUGUCCGGUGCGCCAGGCUGGCUCUGGUGAAAAGGCCGCUCUCGGGAUUUCGUCGGCGGCGUACGGCUAAAAUUCACCGGACUGUCCGGUGAACCAACGGUCGGCCGCGCAAUCCGCGCGUGACGCGUGGCCUGGCCAACGGUCUGAAGGGGGCACCGGACUGUCCGGUGUGCACCGGACAGUGUUCGGUGCGCCAACGGCUCCAAACCUUCAACGGUCGGCUACGCCAGAACAGGAAAGAAAUCCGCACCGGACUGUCCGAUGCGCCAGUCGACAGAAGGCAAGAAUUGCCUUCCUGGAAUGCUCUCAACGGCUCCUAGCUGCCUUGGGGCUAUAAAAGGGACCCCUAGGCGCAUGGAGGAAGACACCAAGCACACUUCGAGCAUUCUUGAUCAUUCACACUUCGUCUUUGCGCAGUCGUUUGACAUUCUUAGUGAUUUGAGCUCCGUUCUAGUGAGAACUUUGUGAUAUUCAUUUGAGCUCAAGUCUUGGCCUUGUGUGUGUGCGUAUUACUGUGGACUUGUGUGUGUUGCUCAUCCCAUCCUUACUUCCGUGUUCAUUUGUGAUCAUCUUUUGUAAGGGCGAGAGACUCCAAGUUGUGGAGAUUCCUCGCAAACGGGGUAUAGUGAAAGGAAAAGAAAUACCGUGGUAUCAAGUGGAUCUUUGGAUCACUUGAGAGGGGUUGAUUGCAACCCUCGUCCGUUGGGACGCCACAACGUGGAGUAGGCAAGUGUUGAACUUGGCCGAACCACGGGAUAAACCAAUGUGCCUCUCUGUGUUGAUAUCCUUGUGGUUAUUGUGUUUUGCAAGAACUCCUUUCUAGCCACUUGGCUUUAUUGCUCUAACACUUAAUCAAGUUUGUGGCAUUAAGUUUUAAGUUUUUACAGGAUCACCUAUUCACCCCCCCUCUAGGUGCUCCCAAUUGGUAUCAGAGUCGUUCUUUUCAAGGAAGGGACUAAUCACCCGAAGAGAUAGAUCCUAACGGAAAGGGGAUGGUGGUCAACGACAAUGAGAAGGAGUCCAUCUUCAACGAGCCAAGGGACGACAAAAUCAAUGACUCCGGCUCGAGUCAAAAGAAGAAAGAUGGAAAGAAGAAGAGGCGCAUCAGGAAGGUUGUCUACUAUGACAGCGAUGAAUCUUCCUCUUCUCAAAAGGACGACGAAUACGAGGAGAAAAAGAAAACGGUUAACUCGAACUUUUCCUUUGAUUACUCUCGUAUUCUACAUAAUUCCAAUGCUCAUUUGCUUUCUAUUCCACUUGGUAAACCUCCUCACUUUGAUGGAGAGGACUACAGAUUUUGGAGUCACAAAAUGCGUAGUCAUUUGUUCUCUCUUCAUCCAAGUAUAUGGGAGAUAGUAGAAAACAGAAUGCAAUUUGAUAGUUCAGAUAAUUCUAUGUUUAUCAAUGAACAAAUCCAUAAGAAUGCACAAGCUACUACUGUUCUUCUAGCAUCCUUGUGCAUGGAAGAAUACAAUAAGGUGAGCGGCUUGGACAAUGCCAAGCAGAUCUGGGACACCCUUAAGAUCUCACAUGAGGGGAACGACGUCACCAUGCUCACCAAGAUGGAGUUGGUGGAAGGCGAACUAGGAAGGUUCGCAAUGAUCAGGGGGAGGAGCCAACCCAAACGUACAACAGGCUAAAGACCCUCGUCAACAAAAUAAGGAGCUAUGGAAGCACGCGAUGGACGGACCACGACGUCGUCCGACUUAUGCUAAGGUCUUUCAUCGUCCUUGAUCCUCAUCUUGUUAACUCUAUUCGUGAGAAUCCUAGGUACACCAAGAUGACGCCCGAGGAAAUACUUGGAAAGUUUGUAAGCGGGCGGAUGAUGAUCAAGGAGGCAAGAUACGUUGAUGAUGCGUUGAAUGGCCCAAUCCACGAGCCUCAAACCGUUGCUCUCAAAGCAACGAGGAGCAGGGAGGCGCUACCUAGCAAGAUGGCAAGUUGAGGUGGUCGGGCUUAACGAGGAAGAAAUGGACCUCAUCAUCAAGCGUUUCAAGACGACGCUCAAAGGUCGCAAGGAGCAUCCCAACAAGAGCAGGACGAAGGGAAAGCGCUCCUGCUUCAAGUGUGGUAAGGUUGGUCACUUUAUUGCUAAUUGUCCCAAUAAUGAUAGUGACCAGGAUCAAGAAAAGAAGAGGGAAAAGAAGAAGAACUACAAGAAGGCUAAGGGCGAGGCACACCUUGGCAAGGAGUGGAACUCGGAUUGUUCAUCAUCAGACUCCGACGACGAAGGACUCGCCGCCUCGGCCUUCACCAAAUCGUCCCUCUUCCCCAACGAGCAUCACACAUGCCUAAUGGCAAAGGAGAAGAAGGUAAGUACUCGAAAUAAUACUACGUAUGCUUCUUCAAGUGAUGAUGAAUCUAGUGAUGAUGAAAUAGACUAUGCAUGUUUAUUCAAAGGAUUAGAUAGAACUAAAAUUGAUAAGAUCAAUGAGUUGAUUGAUGCUUUGAAUGAGAAAAUAGACUUUUAGAAAAGCAAGAAGAUCUUUUAUAUGAAGAGCAUGAUAAAUUUGUAAGUGCGCAAAAUUCUCUUGCUUUAGAAGUUAAAAGAAAUGAAAUGCUUUCUCGUGAAUUGUCUACAUGCCAUGAAUCCAUUUCUAGCUUAAAGAGUAUCAAUGAUGACUUGAAUGCUAAGUUAGAAAUAGCUAAUAAAUCAACCUCUUGUGAAGAACAUGUUGUGAUUUGCAAUAGGUGUAAGGAUUUUAAUGUUGAUGCUUGUAGUGAACACCUAGUUGCCAUUUCUAAAUUAAAUGAUGAAGUGACUAGUCUUAAUGCUCAACUUAAGACUAGCAAAAAUGAAUUCGAUAAAUUAAAAUUUGCAAGGGAUGCCUACACGAUUGGUAGACACCCCUCAAUUAAGGAUGGGCUUGGCUUUAAGAGGGAAGCCAAGAACCUUGAAAGGAUCACGAUGCCCAAGAGGGGGGGGUGAAUUGGGCUUUUCUAAAAAAUCAACACUAAUUAAAACCUAAGCAAGAGCUAAACAAGAGCCCAACUUCACCCCAACAACUAGCACUAGAAAUAUAAUACUAGAAAUGUAACAAAGCUAAGAUAAUACUACAAAUACUUGCUAAACAAAUAUACAAUGUAAAGUGCUUGAAUUAAGUGCGGAAUGUAAAGCAAAGUUUAGAGGACUCCUCCAAUUUUUCCCGAGGUAUCGAAGAGUCGGCACUCUCCACUAGUCCUCGUUGGAGCACCCGCGCAAGGGUAUCGCUCCCCCUUGGUCCUCGCAAGAACCAAGUGCUCACUACGAGAUGAUCCUUUGCCACUCCGGCGCGGUGGAUCCCUCGAGACCGCUUACAAACUUGAGUCGGGUCACCAACAAGAUCUUCACGGUGAUCACCGAGCUCCCAACGCCACCAAGCCGUCUAGGUGAUGCCGAUCACCAAGAGUAACAAGCCGUAGACUUUCGCUUGACCAAGAGAAGCCUAAUGCAAGUGGUGUGUGCUCUAGGUGGCUCUCACUAGCGCUAAUGAGGAACAAGCGCGGAUUAUGAUUCUCUAAUCUCCUCACUAGGCUUUUGGUGCUUGCAAUGCUCUACCAAUGUGCUGGAAUAAAUGUGAAGUGCAAGACAUUGAAUAUGGUGGGUGGAGGGGGUAUAAAUAGCCCUCACCCACCAACUAGCCGUUACAGGCACUUUACUGCGUGAUGGCGCACCGGACAGUCCGGUGCGCCACCGGUGCGCCAACGGUGCGCCAACGGUCACUUCCAACGGCUAGUUCUGACAGGGAGCCGUUGGACUCAUGGCGCACCGGACAGUGAACAGUCCACUGUCCGGUGCACACCGGACAGUCCGGUGCGGUGUCCGGUGUGCCACUAAAAUUCAACUCUGAACGCUGCGCUCUCGGGUUUCUGCGAAGGGAAAACACUGCCGUGGACCAGCCUGGCCCCAUCUGGCAGAGGGUGCACCGGACAGUCCGGUGCACAUCGGACAGUCCGGUGCCCCUAAGCCAAAAACCCUAUCUCUUGUUUUUCAGCUGAUUUUCAAAUCGGUUUUCGCUUUAACUUGUGUGUGAGUUCUAGAGUGACACCUAGCACUGUAUAUGAGUGUGAUUGUGCACCAACACUACACUAGAACUCUCUUGGUCAAACUACUCAUCGACAACCCCUCUUUAUAGUACGGCUAAAAGAGAAUAAAAGACCUAACUAAAUCGCGAGUGUUCACAUCUCCUUGACACUCGGACUCCGUAGACCUUCACCUUUUGUUCCGUCGUUUUAGCCGUCGCUUCGAGUUCUUAUUUCCGGGAUUGUUUUCACCGUUUUAGUACUUCUACCUGUCAUGCGACCUAACUUACCAUUUGUCUCUGCAAAACACACGUUAGUCACAUUUAAUAUUACGUUGUCAUUAAUCACUAAAACCAACCAGGGGCCUAGAUGCUUUCAAUCUCCCCCUUUUUGGUGAUUGAUGACAACCCUACAAGUUUUGUGAGAGUAGUUUGUUUUGAAGAUUCUGUCAAUAGAAAGAAUGGUUAGUUAUACUCAGUAAUCUUUGACAGAAAGAAUGUGUACCAUAAUAAUAAGAGUGAGCGCAUACACAUCAUAAGAUUCUUGUUCAUAUAAAAGAGAAGGUAAAUUAAUGAAACAAGAGCUAGAAGACUGGUGAUAUGAUAUAAAGUGAAAACAUAAUACACACAGUCAAUCAUACGCAACGAGAGUAUAUGACGAGUUUGAGAGCCAAAAACAUCAAGCUAGUACAGAGAGUAGCAGGCACAUAUAUUACAUCAAAAUGACUCUGACUCUCUACUAACUCUCUAACUCCCCCUAGCUCUCACAACUCAUAUCUCUCCCCCUUUGGCGUCAAACACCAAAAGGGACCUGAAACUAAACAUCUGAAGCAGGAGGAGGUGGCGGGGGCGCAUCCGGUCGAGGUCGAGGUAGCAGAGCGAACGCCGACGGAGGGUCAGAGUCAGUCUCGGAUCCAGGAUCUGCGGUAGAAGCUGGAGCUGGUACUGACUCGGACGGAGGCCGCGCUGCAGGAGCUACCGGAACAGAAGCGGUCACAGAUACUGCCACAGCGGUAGUGGUAACAGCAGAUGCUGGUGGCACUGGCGGCUGCGGACAGACAGAGCUGAGAACCGGAGAGGUGAACGCCAAAGUGACCGGCCGGAGCGGAGAGGUACCAACAGGGGGUCCAGACAAGAUCGAAGGCACCACUGGAGCGUGAAGCGGAGGAGGCGGAGCAGACUGAACCGGAGGUGCGGAGAUACCAGAAUGCUGAAGCAUGAGAGUCAUGAAUGCCCUAUUCUCUGCCCGAUCCUGAAGUAGCUGCUGCUGAAGAGCAUCCUGCCUGUCCUGCAUGCUCUGAAACAUCGAGAGCAUCCUGUCGGAUAAACGGGCCUGCUCGGCUGCCAGGAGAGCCUGCUGCUGGGUGAGAGUCUGCUGCUGCUGGGUGAGAGUCUGAAGAAUCGAAGCAAGGGCAGGGUCCAUAGCCUGAGGAUGAGGAGGGGCAGCACUAGAACUCCCAGCCUCAUGAUCAUGUGAGCGUGGAGGCAUAGGAGGCGGAGGAGGAACCCCAAAAUCAUCAUCAUCAUCAUCAGCAGCAGCUGUACCCAGUGUGUCAAACUGACGUAGAGCGGCAUCCUCGGCCUGAGAGUCAAACACAGAAGCAGAAGCUGGCACUGGAAUCUCAGGAGCAGGGCGGUAAGAUCCAAACACAAGGCGUGAGGCCUCAAGAGUGCUCUGAAAUCGAGGUGGCUGAAUCAGCUGCGCAAAGAUGUGGCACAAGUAGUGAGCAUAAGGUAGCUGCCGACGAGCACGAAUCCCAUCCAGAACUGUGUCCUCGAUCUCACAGAUCAGAAAGUCCACAACAUCAAACUCAGAGUGGGAUACCAGGGCACCAAGGAGCCAAAGCUGAAUAUGAGUGGUAGCCUCCCUGUAUCCCAUCCUCGGCAGGAGUGUCCGUCUGAUGAGCUCAUAUAAGUACUUCGCUGCUGUAGUAAAGUCUGCUGGAGAACGUCGCGACCCAUCUGUGAAAGGCGGGCGAAACAGAGUCGCGACGUGAGCUGUCCCUGGAGCCACACCGCCGUGAGGGCGACGAGGAGGGUCAGAAGAGCCGUAGCAGAGGCUGUGAAGGCGAGUCGUCGACUCAGGGAAUCCAAAUAGCUGACGGAUCUGACUGGCAGUGAUCGUGACAUCCUCUCGCUCAAAGCGGAACCUCAUCCAUUGAUGAUCCGGGUCAAUCCAAACAGAGGCGUAGAAGACUCGGACCCACUCCUCAACGUAUCUGCCGCUGAUAGUCAGAAGGGUCAAGAGGCCAGGCAGAUAGGAGAGAUGCGCCUCAGAGACAGCACCGGCUGCAAGCAGAAAAGCUGGAAGAUCCAAAAGGCGGUGCACUCGCAGAGCUAUCUGAGCAGACAUCUGAGCUCUGAAGAAGGACUCCUGAAUCCGUGUGCUGAAAAGAACACCUGCUGCUGGGUCUCUCUGAGCUGGUAGCCAAGUCUCCACGGGUACGUACCUGAACCGAUGUACCCGUGCUGCAGUAGCACGCUGAAGAUCAAACAGACGAGGAUCCGAAACCAGAGGACGGACCUCAGUCUCAUCACGCUCCCGGAAGCGAGGUGGAGGGACAGGAGGAGCCGAAGCGGGAGCGGGAGCAGGGGAAGUAGUGGAAGCUGGCGUAGAGGAGGUAGUGGGUAUGGCUGUGGAGGUGGAUGGAGCAAUAGGAGUGACGGGAGCAGGCAGAGUGGGUGGCGGAGUGGAAGCGGAGGUGUGAGGGGAGGAGCGAGACCGGGAGGUGAGACGACGAGCACAGAAUGCAAUCUGAUCGGAUGGAACAUGCGGCUGAUCUCCAAGUGCUGCCUGCGCAGCGGCUGCUGCAGCUGCUGCCGCUGCACGAGCCUCUCUGUCCGUACGCCGCUUCUUGCGGCCUUCUUGCUGCUCCAAAUACACAGUCUUGCCCUUCACCUGCCUGAAGGGGCGACGAGGGUCCUCAUCGUCGCCACCCCCUGACGCCGACGCAUUCUUCGUGCGCGGCAUCCUGAUCUGAAGUCUGCAUAUUAGAGAGAGUGACUAAGCACAGAGCAACAGUGACCGAUAGAUUUAGCAAAGAGUGAGAUAUCUACCUGGAAAGCUCACACGAGAGGUGACGAUCCGGGCAGGACGGGAGACGGCACACGGUCACACAAGGUCACUGAAAUGACAGAAGAGGUGAGCAUGUAUUAGUCACAUAGUCAUAAGCAUAUGAAAUGUGAAUAAAUACAUACACAGAGAGAUAUGGCACGAGACGGGACGAUCAAGAAGUCAAACGACGUUUGACAGACAAAUAGUGACAUAGGAGGUUUGGAAUUCGAAAUGAGGCACGAAAUGAUAUGGAAUUGAGCCGAUACUUCACGAAUAGGUUUAUAUAGGUGAAUAUGAGUGAAGUGUGUGCUUGGUUUGAAUUUAGGCGAAGAAAAAGGAAUUAGGGCACUCGGCUCAGAAACGAUUGCUCAAAACGGGAAUUUUGGUGAAAUUUAAGCCUGGGAUCUCGGAUUGGCGUGAAAUUUGGCAAGUAGGUUACUGGAAGUGUUGUGAAGAUGCCUGAAAAAUUUGGGUUCAAUUGGAGCAAGUUUCGCUGGUUUGGGCAUUUCACCGAGCAUGUGGCAUGCGGGGAGCUAGGGUUUUGGUGAAACGACCAUUUGAGGUGGGAAUGCCCUCCCGAAGGAGCUAAAAACUUGCAGGGAUACACAAUAGAGAUAUUUGAACUCAUUUCACCAGAGGGAUUUGCAGGAUUUGACAGGAAAAUGAGAGAAGGUCAAUGGGGGAAAUAGAGUGCCACACUGCUGCAGACAGAGCACAGAGAGGGAGAGGAAACAGGGGAGGAAGAGGAGAGCCUGCUCACCGAGAGGGAGAGGACGGUCGCCGGAGGGUCGCCGCCGGUGAGGGGAGAUCGCCGGGAGGGGAGAAAUCGCCAAGAACAGAGGUCAGCUGGCGGCCGGCUGGGAAAUAAAAGAGGUCUCUGGCUCGGUCGGGCUGGAGACCGUUUUUUUAAAAACGCGAUAUGGGCGCACCGGACAGCCUACAGUGCCUGUCCGGUGCACACCGGACAGCGCACAGUAGCUGUCCGGUGAACCACCGGACAGCGCACAAGAGAAUUGGAUUAUAGCGCGCGGCUGCCGGUGCACCGGACAUUGCACAGUGCAGUGUCCGGUGCACACCGGACUGUCCGGUGAGCCCAGACAGAGGGGAGUUUGGAAAAUUUUGAAUUUUUCUAUCUAACUCCUAACCAAACCAAAUCCCAACUUAUAAUCACACAAAAUAACACUUGUUGGGACAGGUAUUGGCACCCUCAUAUACUUUUCAAAAUAUUUUGCCAUAGGCUAGAUAAUUUUUAGAGAAAAUAGGCAAAUGGUGAAAUUUGCAUUUUGGUUUGCACUAGGGGUUAUCAAGAGGGAUUUGAGUUUUGAAUACUCCCCCUAAGUGCAGUACCUCAUGCAUAUUUCAAGAACCAAUAAUUGCAUGAAAAGUAAGAAUUUAAGUGCUAAAAGCUUAAAACCUAAGACUUGUCAGGUUUGACCCGAGUUAAGCUUUUUCACUCGCUUUGUUGGCGGUUAUCUCAACUAGGUUAGACAAGUCCUAGAUGCAAUACAAGGAAUAUAAAUAUGCAAUGCAAGUGACAACACCAUUUUACAUUUUACAUAAAAUUUCUGAGAUCAAGAAUAUUUAGUUCAUUCCUCAACAUGCAAAAGCGGGUCUUAUCAAGUGGCUUAGUGAAAAUAUCCGCUAAUUGAUCUUCCGACCUCACUCCUUCUAAAAAGAUAUCUCCUUUAGCAACAUGAUCUCUAAGGAAGUGAUGACGGAUAUCAAUGUGCUUGGUGCGAGAGUGUUGUACAGGAUUAUUAGCAAUUUUAACAGCACUCUCAUUAUCACACAACAAAGGUACCUUUUCUAGAACUACGCCAUAGUCUAGAAGAGUUUGUUUCAUAUAUAAAAUCUGUGUGCAACAAGCACCUGCGGCAAUGUAUUCUGCUUCGGCAGUUGACAAGGCAACACUAUUUUGCUUUUUGGAUGUCCAUGAAACUAGUGAUCUACCAAGCAGAUGGCAUCCCCCAGAAGUACUUUUCCUAUCAAUUUUGCAACCGGCAUAAUCCGAAUCGGAAUAGCCAAUUAAAUCAAAAGUAGCUCCUUUGGGAUACCACAGACCAACGCUUGUGGUGUGCCUGAGAUACCUAAGAAUUCUCUUAACAGCGCGAAGGUGAGCUUUCUUAGGAUUAGAUUGAAAUCUAGCACACAUGCAGACACUAAACAUAAUAUCGGGCCUAGAUGCGGUAAGAUAUAAUAAACUACCAAUCAUAGAACGGUAGAGAGUUUGAUUAACCAGGUUACCUCCCUCAUCUAAGUCGAGAUGUCCAUUUGUAGGCAUGGGGGUCUUGAUUGGUUUGCACUUCUCCAUGUUGAACCUUUUCAACAAGUCUUUGGUAUACUUCUCUUGUGAGAGAAAGUUACCAUCUUUCAUUUGCUUGACUUGAAAGCCGAGGAAGUAUGUUAGCUCACCAAUCAUUGACAUCUCGAACUCCUUCGACAUCAACUCACCAAAUUCCUUGCAAUGAUAGUCAUUUGUCGAGCCAAAGAUUAUAUCAUCAACAUAUACUUGACAAAUGAAAAUAUCACCGUUAUGUUUCUUUGUGAAGAGAGUUGUGUCGACGGUCCCGAUUUUGAAGCCCUUUUCGAUGAGGAAGUCGCGAAGACGCUCAUACCAAGCCCUUGGAGCUUGCUUUAGCCCAUAAAGCGCCUUGGACAACCUGUAAGCAUGGUUAGGAUAUCUAGGGUCUUCAAAUCCAGGCGGUUGCUCAACAUAUAUAAGUUCAUUUAUGAAGCCAUUUAAAAAUGCACUUUUUACAUCCAUUUGAUAAAGUUUUAUAUCAUAGCAUGAUGCAUAUGCAAGUAGGAUACGGAUGGCUUCCAGUCGAGCAACCGGUGCAAAGGUCUCUCCAAAAUCUAAGCCUUCAACUUGAGAAAAUCCCUUUGCGACAAGUCUUGCCUUGUUUCUUACAAUCACACCUUGAUCAUCUUGCUUGUUUCUGAACACCCACUUUGUUCCAAUGAUUCUUGCAUCUUGUGGGGGCUUCUCCAGGGUCCAAACUUCGUUACGGGUGAAGUUGUUAAGUUCUUCAUGCAUGGCAUUCACCCAGUCCGGAUCCUGUAGCGCCUCAUCUAUACAAGUAGGCUCAACACAAGAAACAAAAGAGUGAUGUUCAAUAAAAUUAGCAUGUUUAUGUGAUCGAGUAAUAACCCCUUGUGAAGGACUCCCGAUGAUUUGGUUUUGAGGAUGAGCUUGAAGUAGUGAUGAGUUUCUCCUGUCAACCACUUGGGAAGAAGAUCCUGGAGCAUCAACAUCUUCGGCUUGUACCCUUGCUUGUUCAUGAGAGACAAAUGUAUCUUCAUUUGCAUGCCUCUCAUCUUUUUCAUCAUCUUGUGGUACAUUUGAUGAAGAAGGCAUGUCAAUGAUUUGCACCUCUUCUUCAUCUUCUUUUGGUUUGAUAGCUCCAAUAGGCAUGUUCUUCAUUGCUUCCCUAAGUGGCUCAUCACCUACAUCAUCAAGAUUUUCAAGUGCUCCUUGGGAGCCAUUAGUCUCAUCAAAUUCCACAUCAUAUGUUUCUUCUACCACGCCAGUGGCAUGGUUGAAUACUCGAUAUGCUUUGGACUUUAAUGAAUAACCCAAAAGAAAACCAAUAUCACAACGUCUUUGAAACUUCCCUAGGUGAUGGCGUUUCUUGUAGAUGUAGCAUUUGCACCCAAAUACCCGGAAGAAGGAGACGUCUGGCUUUUUCCCAUUUAGUAGUUCAUAAGGAGUCUUCGCAAGUAGCCGGUGAGGAAAUAGCCUGUUUGAUGCAUAACAAGCAGUGUUGACAGCUUCGGCCCAAAACCUCUCCGGUGUGUUAUACUCAUCAAUCAUAGUUCUUGCAAGGGUGAUCAAGGUCCUAUUUUUCCUUUCAACAACUCCAUUUUGUUGAGGUGUAUAUGUGGCAGAUACUUCAUGCUUGAUCCCAAUUUCAUCACAGUACUCAUGAAUGUUGGUGUUGUCAAAUUCUUUGCCAUUGUCACUUCUAAUCUUCUUAAUCUUGCAAUCAAAUUCAUUUUGUGCUUUCUUGGCAAACUUCUUGAAUAUAGAUGCAACUUCAGAUUUAUCAUGGAGAAAGAACACCCAAGUGUAUCUUGAGAAGUCAUCAACAAUCACUAGACAGUAGAGGUUGCCACCGGCACUGACAUAAUUUGUAGGUCCAAAUAAAUCCAUGUGAAGUAGUUCCAGUGGCCUUGAUGUUGACAUGAAAGCUUUAGUAGGAUGUGUAUUAGCAACUUGCUUUCCAGCUUGACAUGCACUGCAUGGCUUGUCUUUUUCAAACACCACAUCCUUUAAACCUCUAACCAUAUCUUUCUUUAAUACCUUCUUGAGUGUGCUCAUCCCAACAUGUGCAAGCCUCCUAUGCCAAAGCCAUCCAAGAGAAGCUUUGGUGAAGAGGCAAGUUCUUAAGUCUGCAUCUUCUGAAGUGAAAUCCACUAAGUAGAGGUUGUUGUAUCUAAAUCCCUUGAAUACCAUUGAUUCAUCAUCCAUUUUUGUUACAAUAACCUCUGAUGGAGUGAAUAAGCAUUGAAGUCCAAGAUCACAGAGUUGUCCCACUGAUAAUAAAUUGAAGCUCAAAGGUGCAACUAAGAGAACAUUUGAUAUUGAUAAAUCAUUUGAGAUUGCCACCUUGCCAAGUCCUUGCACUUUUCCUUUUGAGUUGUCUCCAAAUGUGAUUUUAUCUUGACCAUCAACAUUCUCAUCUAGUGAGGUGAACAUCCGUGGGUUGCCUGUCAUAUGUUGUGUGCAUCCACUGUCAAUAACCCAAUGGCUCCCACCGGUCUUGUAGUUCACCUACAUUCACAGACAAUUCAAGCUUGAGUUUUGAGGGCCCUAUAUUGCAUAGGACCAGUGACUCUCUCAAUUAAGGACUUUGCCACCCAGAUUUGUCUAGGUCUACUCUUAUUUGGUGGACCUAGGAAUGUAACCUUAAUCUUUCCAUUUGCAACCUUUCUUAGAACAUAGUGAGCAUUGAAAGCAAAUGGUCUUGAGUGCUUAGGCAAGGGAGUUGGUGGUUUAGCUUUGCAGUUGUGGGCAAAAUGACCUUCAUUUCCACACUCAAAGCAUUUGAUAGGCUUGUGAGUCUGCUUUGGCUUGUAUUGAGUGAUAGCUUUCUUUUGCACAAAAGCAUUGUAUCCAAUACCACUCUUGUUAUUUUUCAUAACAGUGUUCAUAAGCAGCUCAUUUUGGAGGUAUUGACCCUUGUUGAACUUUUGCACACUUGUUGCAAGAUGUUCAUUUUCACUUUUUAGUUUCUUGACCUCAUUCUUAAGCCUUUGAUUAUCCACUGCCAACUCAUUGUUGAAAUCAUUGUUCUCAAUAGCAACUUUUCCUCUAGUAGUUGCAUCAGUCAAGUAAUUCUUCAAUUUUUGGUUGUCUAAAGUCAGGACUUCAACUUUUUCAGUCAAUUCAGCAUGUAGACUAGUUUGCUCUUCUUGAAUCAAAUCAUCACAUGAGGUUGCUACAUCAAGCUUAACAACAGGGUUAAAAGCCUCAUGUGUUUUGCAAGAUAAAAGUUCAUUUUCAACAAGAAGAUUGUCAUGAUCAAAUUUAAUUUGAGUAUAGUCUUCCUUGAUCUUUACUAGUCUAUUUUGCAACUCCCUAUUAGCUUCAUUUAAUUUGUCAUAUUUUUCCUUAGCAUUUUUUAGGGAGUUUGUGAGCUCAUUUACAGUUGAUGACAUAGUUUUAUUUUCUUCUUUUAUUUCAUCACUAGCCUUUAUAACUAUGUCAUACUUGGCAUUUAAAGAUUCAUUUUCAUUUUUCAACCUAUCACAUUUAGCUUUUGACUUUCUAAUGAUUUGAGUAUAUUCUUUAAGUAAGUCAGCUAACUCAUCAUAUGAAGGUGAAGCAAAUUCUUCAUCACUAUCACUAUCACUAUCAUCAUCAAUAUUAAUAUCAUUUUGUACCUUUCGUUCACCCCUAGCCAUGAGGCAUAGGUGAGAAGUGGAUGAUGGCGAUGGUGGUGGUGAAGAGAAGUCCCCGGCGAUGGCCGCAACUUUUUCAUCAUUCUCUUCUUCACUUGAAGAAGACCCACUUGAUGAUUCGAUGUCGGUGAGCCAGUCGCCAACAAUAUAUGCCUUUCCAUUCUUCUUCUUGUGGAACCUCUUUUGCUUCCCAUCCUUCCUCUUGAAGAAUUUCUUUUCCUUCUUUUCAUCAUCGUUGUCAUCUUCCUUCUUGCCCUUGAACUUGUUCUUCUUGGGCUUGUUGCAUUGAUGAGCAAGAUGACCAAGCUCACCACAGUUGUAACAGUCCAUCUCAGAAAUGGGCUUUCUUUUGUUGGAAAAGAACUUCUUCUUUCUUGAAUCAAAUUUGAUGCCUUCUCUAUUUAGCUUCUUCAACAUCUUGGUGGUCUUCCUUACCAUCAAGGCAAUGUUUGCAUCAAGGUCAUCAUCACUUGAGGAUUCUUCCUCAACUUGUAUUUUUGCUUUUCCUUUUCUUUCAUGAUUUGCUUUGAGAGCCAAAUCCUUUCUUUUGGAAGAUGAUUCUUCUUUGUCGUUGAUGUGCAUGUACAUUUCAUGGGCAUUGAUCUUUCCCAAAAUUUGUGUAGGUGUGGUAACUGAAAGAUCCAUUUGAUGUAGCACAGUGACAAUGUGUCCAUAUUUGUCUAUUGGGAGGACACUGAGAAUCUUCCUCACAACAUCCGGUUGUGAGAUUUGAGUAAGCCCCAAUCCAUUGACUUCCUCUACAAGAAUAUUAAGUCGUGAGUACAUAGCAUUUGCAUUUUCAUUAGUAAGCAUUUCAAAGGAAUUUAACUUUCGCAUGGCUAUGUGAUAUCUUUCCUCACGUUCACUUCUGGUUCCUUCAUGUAGAGCACAAAUGUCCAUCCACAAAUCAUGAGCAUUUUUAUGAUUCCUUACUCUAUUGAACACAUCUUUGCAAAGGCCUCUAAAAAGGGUGUUUUUGGCCUUAGCAUUCCAUUUCUCAUAAUUGAACUCAUCACCUACAAGAUUUGUGGGAUCUCUAGGUUCGGGGAACCCUUGUGUGGCGGCUUUAUAGACACCAAUGUCUAUAGCCUCUAAGUAUGCUUCCAUACGAAUUUUCCAAUAAGGAAAAUCGUCACCAUCAAAAACGGGAGGAGGUCCAUCCCCACCGGACAUCGUAACUCUAGCGGUUAAGCUAAUCUAUGAGCAACAAGGCUCCGAUACCAAUUGAAAGGAUCACGAUGCCCAAGAGGGGGGGUGAAUUGGGCUUUUCUAAAAAAUCAACACUAAUUAAAACCUAAGCAAGAGCUAAACAAGAGCCCAACUUCACCCCAACAACUAGCACUAGAAAUAUAAUACUAGAAAUGUAACAAAGCUAAGAUAAUACUACAAAUACUUGCUAAACAAAUAUACAAUGUAAAGUGCUUGAAUUAAGUGCGGAAUGUAAAGCAAAGUUUAGAGGACUCCUCCAAUUUUUCCCGAGGUAUCGAAGAGUCGGCACUCUCCACUAGUCCUCGUUGGAGCACCCGCGCAAGGGUAUCGCUCCCCCUUGGUCCUCGCAAGAACCAAGUGCUCACUACGAUAUGAUCCUUUGCCACUCCGGCGCGGUGGAUCCCUCGAUACCGCUUACAAACUUGAGUCGGGUCACCAACAAGAUCUUCACGGUGAUCACCGAGCUCCCAACGCCACCAAGCCGUCUAGGUGAUGCCGAUCACCAAGAGUAACAAGCCGUAGACUUUCGCUUGACCAAGAGAAGCCUAAUGCAAGUGGUGUGUGCUCUAGGUGGCUCUCACUAGCGCUAAUGAGGAACAAGCGCGGAUUAUGAUUCUCUAAUCUCCUCACUAGGCUUUUGGUGCUUGCAAUGCUCUACCAAUGUGCUGGAAUAAAUGUGAAGUGCAAGACAUUGAAUAUGGUGGGUGGAGGGGGUAUAAAUAGCCCUCACCCACCAACUAGCCGUUACAGCCACUUUACUGCGUGAUGGCGCACCGGACAGUCCGGUGCGCCACCGGUGCGCCAACGGUGCGCCACCGGUGCGCCAACGGUCACUUCCAACGGCUAGUUCUGACAGGGAGCCGUUGGACUCAUGGCGCACCGGACAGUGAACAGUCCACUGUCCGGUGCACACCGGACAGUCCGGUGCGGUGUCCGGUGUGCCACUAAAAUUCAACUCUAAACGCUGCGCUCUCGGGUUUCUGCGAAGGGAAAACACUGUCGUGGACCAGCCUGGCCCCAUCUGGCAGAGGGUGCACCGGACAGUCCGGUGCACACCGGACAGUCCGGUGCCCCUAAGCCAGAAACCCUAUCUCUUGUUUUUCAGCUGAUUUUCAAAUCGGUUUUCGCUUUAACUUGUGUGUGAGUUCUAGAGUGACACCUAGCACUGUAUAUGAGUGUGAUUGUGCACCAACACUACACUAGAACUCUCUUGGUCAAACUACUCAUCGACAACCCCUCUUUAUAGUACGGCUAAAAGAGAAUAAAAGACCUAACUAAAUCGCGAGUGUUCACAUCUCCUUGACACUCGGACUCCAUAGACCUUCACCUUUUGUUCCGUCGUUUUAGCCGUCGCUUCGAGUUCUUAUUUCCGGGAUUGUUUUCACCGUUUUAGUACUUCUACCUGUCAUGCGACCUAACUUACCAUUUGUCUCUGCAAAACACACGUUAGUCACAUUUAAUAUUACGUUGUCAUUAAUCACUAAAACCAACCAGGGGCCUAGAUGCUUUCAAACCUAACAAGUCAUAAGGCUCCCAUCUCCACCAAGGAGAAAGGGAAGGCCCCUAUGGCUAAUAGUGCUCAAAAGAAUCAUGCAUUUAUUUAUGAUAGGAAAUUUUCUAGAAAUGUUCAUCAUGAUAGGAGUUGUAAUGCUUGUGAUUCAAAUGCAAUGUUUGCUUCAAGUUCUUCCUAUGUGCAUGGUAGAGAUAUGCCUAGGAAAAAUGUCAUUCAUCAUAUGCCUAGGAGAAAUGUUGCUCAGGUUCCUAGGAAAAUAGUUAAUGAACCUUCUACAAUUUAUCAUGCUUGCAAUGCUUCCUUUGCAAUUUGUAGAAAGGAUAAGAAGGUGAUUGCUAGGAAAUUAGGGGCAAAAUGCAAGGGGGAUAAAACUUGCAUUUGGGUCCCUAAGACCAUUGUUACUAACCUGGUAGGACCCAACAAGAGUUGGGUACCUAAGACCCAAGCCUAAAUUGCCUUGCAGGUUUAUGCAUCCGGGGGCUCAAGCUGGAUUAUCGAUAGCGGAUGCACAAACCACAUGACGGGGGAGAAGAAGAUGUUCACCUCCUACUAGGGCUGGACGAAAUACUCGUGGCUCGAUAACUCGCUCGACUCGGCUCGUUAGUAGCUCGGCUCGACUCGGCUCGUUUUAAUUUUGUAGCGAGCCAAGCUAGCAUUCUAGCUUGGUUCUCUAAUGAGCCAGCUCGGGUUAGCUCAUGAGCUAGCUCGCGAGCCAAACGAGCCAAGCCACAACACAAGUUUGGCUAGUCGUUGGUGUCGUCUCAUCUCUCAUAGUCUUGUUUUCUCGUAGUUAUGAUCUCCGAUAUGGACAUGUGUGGACGUGCCAUAUGCUUAAAUAUUUGCAUUAUUGCAUGGCUACAUACCUACAUUGUAUAUUUAAUAUUUGAUUAUUGGUUAUGGUUUUGUGAACUUUGUUUCUAGCAGCAUAUGAUGUUAGUAUUGUGCAAUGAAAUGUUACAUGUUUGUGGAAUAGAUGAUGAAUUGCUUUAUAAUGAUGCUUGUUGUUAUCUUAUUAUAAUAAGGGUUUGUAAAUAUGUAAGUUAAUACAUAUUUGGUGAUUUAAUUUAAUAUUAAAAGUUAGAAGCUAGGACGAUGAUAUGAUAAUAAUAUCAUAAAUUUUUUGGGUUUGUAGUGUUAAACACUUAAAAUAUGAUUUUUCGGUUAUAUAUAUGUUUAUGUACAUAGAUCUUUGUAUUUAGUUGUGUAGCUCGCGAGCCUAACGAGCUGGCUCGAGCUUCCUAACGAGUCGAGUCGAGCCAGAUGUUUAGCUCGUUAGUAUAACGAGCCGAGCCGAGCUGGCUCGUUACAGUAACGAGCCAUAACGAGCCGAGCUGGCUCGAUAUCCACCCCUACCUCCUACGUCAAGAACAAGGAUUCCCAAGAUUCAAUCAUAUUCGGUGAUGGGAACCAAGGCAAGGUUAAAGGACUAGAAAAAAUAGCAAUUUCAUCCGAGCAUUCCAUUUCUAAUGUGUUUUUAGUAGAAUCGCUCGGAUAUAACUUGUUGUCUGUUAGUCAACUUUGUAAUAUGGGAUAUAAUUGCUUAUUCACAAAUGUAGAUGUGUCUGUCUUUAGAAAGAGUGAUGGUUCAUUAGCUUUUAAGGGUGUACUAGACGACAAACUCUAUUUAGUUGAUUUUGCAAAAGAGGAGGCCGGUCUAGAUGCAUGCUUAAUUGCUAAGACUAGCAUGGGCUGGUUGUGGCAUCGCCGUCUAGCACAUGUGGGGAUGAAGAACCUUCACAAGCUUCUAAAGGGAGAACAUGUGUUAGGUCUAACAAAUGUAAAUUUCGAAAAAAAUAGACCUUGUGCAGCUUGUCAAGCAGGUAAACAGGUGGGAAGCUCUCAUCAUAUCAAAAAUGUGAUGACCACGUCAAGACCUUUGGAGUUACUUCAUAUGGACCUCUUCGAACCCGUCGCUUACAUAAGCAUAGGAAGAAGUAAGUAUGGUCUUGUUAUAGUUGAUGAUUUUUCCCGCUUCACUUGGGUAUUCUUUUUGCAGGAUAAAUCUGAAACCCAAGGGACCCUCAAGCGUUUCCUAAGGAGAUCUCAAAAUGAGUUUGAGCUCAAGGUGAAUAAGAUAAGGAGCGACAACGGGUCCGAGUUCAAGAACCUUCAAGUGGAGGAGUACCUUGAGGAGGAAGGAAUCAAGCAUGAGUUCUCCGCUCCCUACACACCACAUCAAAACAGUGUGGUAGAGAGGAAGAACAGGACGCUCAUCGAUAUGGCAAGGACGAUGCUUGGAGAGUUCAAGACGCCCGAGCGGUUUUGGUCGGAAGCCAUGAACACGGCUUGCCACGCCAUAAACCGGGUCUACCUUCAUCGCCUCCUCAAGAAGACUUCGUAUGAGCUUCUAACCGAUAACAAACCCAAUGUUUCGUACUUUCGUGUAUUUGGGAGUAAAUGCUACAUUCUAGUGAAGAAAGGUAGGAAUUCUAAAUUUGCUCCCAAAGUUGUAGAAGGAUUUUUGUUAGGUUAUGACUCAAAUACAAAGGCGUAUAGGGUCUUCAACAAAUCAUCGGGUUUGGUUGAAGUCUCUAGCGACGUUGUAUUUGAUGAGACUAAUGGCUCUCCAAGAGAGCAAGUUGUUGAUCUUGAUGAUAUAGAUGAAGAAGAUGUUCCAACGGCCGCCAUACGCACCAUGGCAAUUGGAGAUGUGCGACCACAGGAACAAACGGAGCAAGAUCAACCUUCUUCCUCAACAAUGGUGCAACCUCCAACUCAAGAUGAUGAACAGGUUCAUCAAGAAGAGGCGUGUGAUCAAGGGGGAGCACAAGUUGAUCAUGUUAUGGAGGAAGAAGCACCUCAAGCCACUACAAGAGAAAAGUGUAUCAACGACCAGAAAAUAACGACCACCUGUAAUAUGUGGUUGUGAGGAGUCUCGGCAGCACAGUGCAAGCUCUGUCCAAUCCAACCGACGACCAAAAACAUGUCAUCGUUAGCGAGCUGACCUCUGUGGUCGUUAAAAAUAAAAUCCAACGUUGCCUUCACGACGACCAUACUGAUUGGCGCCAAUACCUACCUCUCCCCGCGCGUAAACAGAAAAAGAAUUAACACGAUCUAAAACAACCCCGCCUGAAUCGAAGCAGGGGCAGCCACAACGUCUUCCUCCUCCCCUCUCGUUCCCUGUUAAUAGAUCAAUCUGCGCAGCACGGACAGCCACAUCGUCUUCCUCGUCCCCUCUGUAAUUCCUAGCCAGCCACCACGUCUUCCUCCUACCCUCUAUAAUUCCUAGGUCAAAGGGAGCAGGGGCAGCCAUCCCCCAUCCCUUCCCUUCCAGGUCGCAACCAUCUUCCUCCUCCCCUCUAUAAUUUUUAGGUCAAACAGAGCAAGGGCGGGCAUCCCCCAUCACGUCCCUUCCAGGUGAGCUCGUUUUCCUCCCCCUUCCUGAUUCUUUUGUUCAGAUAUCUCCGACGGUCUUUCCUUUGCAUCCAGAAUCAUGUAGUAAAUCAUGUAGUAGGGCGCUGGUUGAACUGCUCCUCCUACCAAUGAUAAUAAUCCUAGAGGCACCGACUAGAUGCAUUCGUGCCAAUUCAAAAAGGCAGCAUGUCCAGAAUUGUUAUGCAGUGGCCCAGAAUUGUUAGAAGUGGUAGCUGCAAUGAUCUUCCCUCCUCCCUAGAACAACAUCCCCCUCAUCCGAUGUGCCCCUAAUUUAUAUUUUGGAACCACACAAGGCAGUUCGUCCAAGCAAAAGGGUGUUCCUGCUGUAAUCUUCAGAGAAUAUAUGUUAAUUAGUUAGAUUACACAAGUUUAUAUGUUAAUUGUGAGGCAUAGUGGCUGAUAUGUGAGAAGUGUAUACAGAAAUUACUUGUAUCAAAUGGGAAUUCAGACCAUUGUGGUUGUGGUUGAGAUCAAAAUCUACUACAGUAUUUAGUUUAAUUAGUGAUGCUGCUAGAACAAUUUACUUUUCAGUGUUGUGUUUCAGUUAAUAUUAUUCAUGGAUAUCAGUUUCAGUUUAUAUCAUAUAUUUCCUGUUGACUGGCACCUUACUAUUUAAAAAAUGUCACUCCAUUGUUUGAAUUAUACCUUGAGAUCUCUGAUUCUCUGAUGCAUGUGUUUUGGAGCUGAAUUCUUUUAUGGUGUUUGUCACCUUGGAACACAGAAUCAUAUUGAUCUUUGCUUUCCUUUGCAUUGCUCAACAUCAUACUCAUUUACUGUACCAUUUUUAUCAGCUUGCAGUCAUACUAAUCAGAAUUGUUAUUGUUCUUUUUCAGAUUCAUAUUGUAGAGCAGCUAUGUCUGUGUUUGUCAUCUUGGAACACAAAAUCCCUACUACUCUCCCCCCAUAAGGUGUGUGCACUCCUUAACAACAAUCUGUUGUGAAAUUACACUGAUAUUUGCCCGUGCGUUAGGACCAAUUGCCCCAUCUGUUAGGACCAAAUGAUUGACCCAUGUUUUUGUUAUUGUAGUAUAUUACAGCCUCAUGCUAAAUAACGUGUUUUCUACUAGAAGCCAUCACAUGUCCCUCCAACAAACUGCAAGUAAACACACUAGCACAAAUAAUUGGCUCAUAUUUCACAAAUAAUGUUACUAACAAAGACGUGGGUUGGACAAGCAGCCUAAUUGGCUCAUAUUUCACAAAUAAUGUUACGUUACUACCAGGAAGCAGAAAUAAAUCGCUAUGUACUGCAUAUAUUAUGUUUAAAUAUUUAACAUUCUCAUCAACAGGACCAUCUUCAGCACAAUUAAGCAAAAGAUGCCCUUAGGAGACAUUUUAUUGAUGAAUCAUGAUCAUGGAAUAUAUAGAAGCGAUUGUAUAAAAUUUGUCUUGUAGCACACACUAUCUAUAUUUAUUUAAUUUCCACCAGAGAGAGCAAAAACUCAAAUAUGCAAAAGUUCAGUCGUGUACAGAAGGAAAACAUCAAUUUUCAAGAGAAAGGAAAGGAGACUCUAGAACAUACUUUCCUAUGCAUCCUGCUGCAACUUCUAAUGCCAGGCCACUUAAGUUUCUGCUUAAUUCUAAUCUAUGUGAGCAAUUCAGCAUAAUUCUGCCCACAUAUCUAUGUGAGCAAUUCAGCAUAAUUCUGCCCACGUAUCUCUGAAAAAUUACGAGUUUCUGCUUCUUCUGAUCUGCUCUAUUCCAUGUGGUGGAACAUAAUGCCUAGAUAUUCUCAAAAGACACUAUUCUCAACAGAUUAAGUAGUAGUUAGACAAAAAGUUCUAGUAUACGAUCAUCUAGCAGAUUUAAACGAUGGUAUUCAUCAUAAAUCUUCAGAUGGUUUAGUAGAUGUAAAUUAGAGUAAAUGUUUAAGAGUGAAUGAUAUAUGAAUCUAUUUUGACAACAAAUAUAUUGCCACAUGGACAAUAAUGAUAUCUGGUUUUGCUUAUAAUGGACAGUUUAGAGAAGCCCUUUUGGUCUACAAUGAUAUGUGCAGAGAAGAAGUCACACUGGAUGAUACAGUCUUUGUUGCUGCACUUGGUGCUUGUGCUCAUGGAGGUUUGUUGCAAGAAGGUUGGAGCAUCUUUAAUCAAAUGGUUGGGUACUGUCGCAUUGUUCCAAGAAUGGAGCACUAUGGAUGCAUAGUGAACCUACUUGGUCGAGCUGGUAAGUUACAAGAGGCAGUUCGAUUUAUUGAAAGCAUGCCUCUUAAGCCUGGUGCAUUUCUAGAAUACUUGAAGUGCUUCCUUCGGCAAAGAAACCUUUGCUUUUUGGGAAGUAUAGUAGGGUUCUCAAUCGCCUUCAGGUAAAACUUUCAUCUUUUGUUUACUACAGUUUUUUUUUUAUUUUAUUGAAAACCAGUAUUUUAGAUCAGCGCUUUCUCCAAAUUUAGAUCAGAAAUUUAGAAUAUGUGCACUCCAGCUCUACUGGUAAUAGAAUAUGUGCCAUUUUCACCCUCAAUCUUAUUAUUUGGCCCAAUAUUUAUUCUGACCCAAUCAUCAUUUUAUUCCAAAAAAUAGAUAACAUGACCUCAAGGCCACCAGUCUCAGGGUCUUGUACGGCAUCAGUUAAUUCCAAUCAAAUGCAGACAAUUGCAAGGUAAAGGGAGAAAAGGACCCUUCUGUGAUACAUUCAAAGGAUCUGUGCUGUUUGUUUAUUUAUAUUUUUUUUGCUGGCACACUUAUGUUUACUUUAAAGCAAUUUUCUGUUUUCCUUCACAUAAUCUUGUUGUGACUUGUGAUGUAUACUUUUUUUGUUACUGCUGGUGCUUUCGCCAUGUUGAGUAAUCAGUAAACAUCCAAGGACAACUAAGUAUAUUUUUUAACCAUAUAUUUGUAUAUUUCUAAACCUUGGUUCUUGCAUGGGCAUUACAGACCAAGGGGUUUCUACAAUCUUCAGCAAUUGUCCAAACAUCUGCACGCUAAUCGUUACAGGUUGUAGGCGUCUGUCCGGUGCUGGAUUCAGAGGUUGUUCAAGUUCAUUGAGUUACCUUGAAGCCGAGUCUUGCAUGCUUUCUCCAGACGGUUUUUUGGAUAUAGCUAGUGGCAGUGGACUCAAGUAUCUGAACUUGUAGAAGUUAAGAAGCUCCACUGGUCUGGAUGGCCUUGGUAACCUUGCGCUCGCUAAAAGCCUCUGCAUUCUGAAUCUCAGGAUCUGUCGCUACCUCACAGACGAUUCCGUGGCAGCAAUAGCCGGUGGGUGCCCGUUGCUUGAGGAGUGGAACCUUGCUCUUUGCCAUGGGGUCCAUCUACCUAGCUGGUCUGCGAUCGCGUUGUACUACAGUAAGCUAAUUAAGAGUGCUGCAUGUGAACCGCUGUCGGCACAUCUGCGACCAGAGCUUGCUGGCCCUCAGUAAUGGUUGUCCGCGCCUUGAAGUUGUGCAUAUCAAUGGCCGUGCCAAGGUCACCAACAAUGGCCUGGCCUUGUUUACCCUUUCCAGGCCCCACGUGAACCUUAGGGUGUAUGAAGUUAUGUCCAUUGGCCCUUCCAUUGAGAAUUUGUUCUGAUUGCAUUGAGGUGAAAUUGUUAGUUAGGUUUUCAAAGUUUGGGAUUAAAAGUUCCUCUGCAGCUAUUUACAUGUACAUGUAACUUCUGUUUGUAUAUAUUUUUAACAAGAGAAAUCGAUAGGGAUCUCUCCUGCUGACAUCGUCGUUAAAAAUGGAGUCAUAUAUUUUCAGCCGAACAAUAUUAGCAUUGUGUUGGUGAAUGGUGACCAGCUUACUGAUUUCUACCACUGUACAGGGCAUUCUGGAUCCAGCAUUCUUGAAGCAUGUUCAACCUGUCUCCAUAUGCCCGUGCAGCAAGAGCGUCCCAGUCGUGAGACUGCCUGAUGGAAGCCAACGUAUCAGCAUGGAAGUUGUGCUGGAGAUGCUGAUGGAAGUUGAGGCCACCAUAUACGGUGUGAGGCACGCCGGAGUCUAUGGCAGGGAGAAGAAAAGUCCUAGUGUGAUCAUUGCUGUAAAGAUUUUUCAGAUUUUAUACUAUAUGGAAAUACAUCUCAUAUGUAAUAAUCAGAUUUGUUUUGGUUAAUACAAUUUAUACUUGUUUCAAAUGAGGUUCAUAUAUGAGCUAUGAAGUGUUUGUUGGUGCAUGCUGAAAUGAAAUUUAUUUUCCUGUCUUUGAUAUACUAUUAAUGUAAUAUGAUUACAGAUGCAGUUUUCAAUACUAUUGUAAGUGGACGUUAAUGUUGACAUGUGGUUGUUAAUAGUCAUGUCUGUUAUAGCUAAAACCAAGGUUGUUGAUGCCUCAUAUGUGGUCGCUAAAAGCUGCAAAUUUGGUUGUUGAUGAUUUUUAUGCGGUCGUUAAUACCCCACAACUAACGACCAUUAUAUAUCUGGUCGUUAAUCGAAUAACGAUCGGAAUCUACAUGUGGUCGUUACUACGAUUCACGACGGAACAUUUAACGACCAUCGACGACCACAUUUUUGUGGUCGUUGUUUACAUUUGACGACCACAUUUUGGCUAUUAACGACCACAUAUCCUAUCGUUAAUACUCAUUUCUCUUGUAGUGAGCCCCUCCAACUCAAGUUCGAGCGACGAUUCAAAGGAAUCAUCCCGUCGACCAGAUAUUGGGUGAUAUUAGCAAGGGAGUAACUACUCACUCUAGAUUAGUUAAUUUUUGUGAGCAUUACUCUUUUGUCUCUUCUAUUGAGCCUUUCAGGGUAGAAGAGGCCUUGCUAGAUCCGGACUGGGUGUUGGCCAUGCAGGAGGAGCUCAACAAUUUCAAGAGAAAUAAAGUUUGGACACUGGUGCCACGUCCCAAGCAAAACGUUGUGGGAACCAAGUGGGUGUUCCGCAACAAACAAGACGAGCACGGAGUGGUGACAAGGAACAAGGCUAGACUUGUGGCAAAAGGUUAUGCCCAAGUCGCAGGUUUGGACUUUGAGGAGACUUUUGCUCCUGUGGCUAGGCUAGAGUCAAUUUGCAUAUUGUUAGCCUAUGCCGCUCACCAUUCUUUCAGGUUGUUCCAAAUGGACGUGAAGAGCGCUUUCAUCAACGGACCAAUCAAGGAGGAGGUGUACGUGGAGCAACCCCCUGGCUUUGAGGAUGAAUGGUACCCCAACCAUGUGUGUAAGCUCUCUAAGGCGCUCUAUGGACUUAAGCAAGCCCCAAGAGCAUGGUAUGAAUGCCUUAGAGACUUUUUAAUUGCUAAUGCUUUCAAGGUUGGGAAAGCCGAUCCGACUUUAUUCACCAAGACUUGUGAUGGUGACUUAUUUGUGUGCCAAAUUUAUGUCGAUGACAUAAUAUUUGGUUCUACUAACAAAAAGUCUUGUGAAGAGUUUAGCAGGGUGAUGACUCAAAUGUUUGAAAUGUCGAUGAUGGGCAAGUUGAACUACUUCCUUGGGUUCCAAGUGAAGCAACUCAAGGACGACACUUUCAUCUCCCAAACAAAGUACACGCAAGACUUGAUCAAGCGGUUUGGGAUGAAGGACUCCAAGCCCGCAAAGACUCCAAUGGGAACCGACGGACACGUCGACCUCAACAAAGGAGGUAAGUCUGUUGAUCAAAAAGCAUACCGGUCUUUGAUAGGUUCCUUACUUUACUUAUGUGCUAGUAGACCGGAUAUUAUGCUUAGUGUAUGCAUGUGUGCUAGAUUUCAAUCCGAUCCAAGGGAGUGUCACUUAGUGGCCGUGAAGCGAAUUCUUAGAUAUUUAGUCGCUACGCCUUGCUUCGAGAUCUGGUAUCCAAAGGGGUCUACCUUUGACUUAAUUGGAUAUUCAGACUCCGAUUAUGCUGGAUGUAAGGUUGAUAGGAAGAGUACAUAAGGGGCGUGCCAAUUCUUAGGAAGGUCCCUGGUGUCUUGGAGUUCUAAGAAACAAACUUCCGUUGCCCUAUCCACCGUUGAGGCCAAGUAUGUUGCCGCAGGACAGUGUUGCGCACAACUACUUUGGAUGAGGCAAACCCUCAGAGACUUUGGCUACAAUCUGAGCAAAGUCCCACUCCUAUGUGAUAAUGAGAGUGCAAUCUGCAUGACGGAUAAUCCUGUUGAACACAGCCGCACUAAGCACAUAGACAUCCGACAUCACUUUUUGAGAGACCACUAGCAAAAGGGAGAUAUCGAAGUGUUUUAUGUUAGCACCGAAAACCAGCUAGUCGAUAUCUUUACCAAGCCUCUAGAUGAGUCAACCUUUUGCAGGCUGCGUAGUGAGCUAAAUGUCUUAGAUUCGCGGAACUUGGAUUGAUUUAUAGCAUACAUGUGCUAUUAUGCCUUGAUCAUGUUCCUUAUACAGUGUCCGGUGGUGCACCGGACUGUCCGGUGCGCCAGUCGACAGAAGGCAAGAAUUGCCUUCCUGGAAUGCUCUCAACGGCUCCUAGCUGCCUUGGGGCUAUAAAAGGGACCCCUAGGCGCAUGGAGGAAGGCACCAAGCACACUUUGAGCAUUCUUGAUCAUUCACACUUCGUCUUUGCGCACUCGUUUGACAUUCUUAGUGGUUUGAGCUCCGUUCUAGUGAGAACUUUGUGAUAUUCAUUUGAGCUCAAGUCUUGGCCUUGUGUGUGUGCGUAUUACUGUGGACUUGUGUGUGUUGCUCAUCCCAUCCUUACUUCCGUGUUCAUUUGUGAUCAUCUUUUGUAAGGGCGAGAGACUCCAAGUUGUGGAGAUUCCUCGCAAACGGGCUAUAGUGAAAGGAAAAGAAAUACCGAGGUAUUCAAGUGGAUCUUUGGAUCAUUUGAGAGGGGUUGAUUGCAACCCUCGUCCGUUGGGACGCCACAACGUGGAGUAGGCAAGUGUUGAACUUGGCCGAACCACGGGAUAAACCACUGUGCCUCUCUGUGUUGAUAUCCUUGUGGUUAUUAUGUUUUGCAAGAACUCCUUUCUAGCCACUUGGCUUUAUUACUCUACCACUUAAUCAAGUUUGUGGCAUUAAGUUUUAAGUUUUUACAGGAUCACCUAUUCACCCCCCUCUAGGUGCUCUCACUAUCUCCUUUUCUCUCUCUGCGUCGUUCCGCGCACACUCUCUACAAUGGUGGUGGUCACGAGUGUAGGGGAAAUAGGUUAGCCCGGGUCAUGGCACCCUAUAAAGUCGCGAAGUGGCCCAUCUGUGAGUGGUUGAUGCAAGGGGCACGAUACCGAGCCCAUGCGCCAGCAACAGAAACGCAGGAAACGGGCGCGAGCGAGGCAAGCGAGCGAUGGCUAGCAGCCGGACCCCACGCUGAAAGGGAAAUGUGCCCUUGGGCCAUUUCUAAGUGUUUUGGUGAUUUAGUGUCCAACACAAGUGCCUAAGUGUCAAAUGGUGGACAAAGUACAAAUCAAGUAAAAAGGUAUGUUUCUCAGACUUAGUACAUUGUUUUGGAGACUAAUGUAUUGUGUCUAAGUGCUGGAAACAGGAAAAGAACAAUUGGAAAUGUCUUGGCUCGAGCAGCCAAGACUCUGCUCAGUUUGGGUGCACCGGACUGUCCGGUGGUGCACCGGACAGUGUCCGGUGUGCCAGGCUGGCUCAGGCGAACUUGCCGCUCUCGGGAAUAAAUUAACGGCGUACGACUAUAAUUCACCGGACUGUCCGGUGUGCACCGGACUGUCCGGUGAGCCAACGAACAGCUGCGCGAUCCGCGCGAGACACGUGGCCGAGCCAACGGUCGGGAGGGGGCACCGGACUGUCCGGUGUGCAUCGGACAGUGUCCGGUGCGCCAACGGCUCCAAGGCUGCCAAUGGUUGGCUUCGCCAAAUAUGGAAGGAAAUCCGCACCGGACAGUGUCCGGUGGUGCACCGGACUGUCCGGUGCACCAGGCGACAGAAAGCAAGAAUUGCCUUCCCAGAUUGCUCUCAACGGCUCCUAGCUUCCUUGGGGCUAUAAAAGGGACCCCUAAGCGCAUGGAGGAGGACACCAAGCAUUCCUUGAGCACUCUUGAUCACUCACACUCCAUUCUUGCGCACUUGUUCGACAUUCUAGUGAUUUGAGCUCCGUUCUAGUGUGCUAGUCUUUUGAGCUUAAGUCUGGGUCUUGUGUGUGCGUAUUUGCUGUGAUCUUUGUGUCUUGUGUGAGUUGCUAAUCCCUCCCUUACUCCGUGCUUCUUUGUGAACAUCUUUGUAAGGGCGAGAGACUCCAAGUUGUGGAGAUUCCUCGCAAACGGGAUAUAGAAAAGAAAAGCAAACACCGUGGUAUUCAAGUGGGUCUUUGGACCGCUUGAGAGGGGUUGAUUGCAACCCUCGUCCAUUGGGACGCCACAACGUGGAAGUAGGCAAGUGUUGUACUUGGCCGAACCAUGGGAUAAACCAUUGUGUCUACCUGUGUUGAUUCUCUUGUGGUUAUUAUGUUUUGCUAAGACUCUUCUCUAGCCACUUGGCAAUACUGUGCUAACGCUUAACCAAGUUUUUGUGGCAUUAAGUUUAAGUUUUACAGGAUCACCUAUUCACCCCCCCCUCUAGGUGCUCUCAAUUGGUAUUGGAGUCGUUCUCUUCAAGAAAGGGACUAACCGCCCGAAGAGAUGGAUCCUAAGGGGAAGGGAAUCGUGAUCAAUGAUAAGGAGAAGGAGUCCUUCGUCAACGAGCCGAAGGAUGACAAGCCUACCGACUCGGGCUCGGGCCACAAACAUAAGGAUGGGAAGAAGAAGAAGACAAGGCGCAUCAAGGAGAUCGUCUACUACGACGACAGCGACGAGUCCACUUCUUCCCAAAAGGACAACGACGACAACGACUACGAGAGAAGGAAACCGGUUAAUUCGAACUUUUCUUUUGACUACUCUCGUAUUCCGCAAAGUACAAAUGCUCAUUUGCUCUCCAUUCCACUUGGCAAACCUCCUCACUUUGAUGGAGAGGACUACGGAUUUUGGAGCCACAAAAUGUGUAGUCACUUGUUCUCUCUCCAUCCGAGCAUAUGGGAGAUUGUGGAAAGUGGAAUGAAAUUUGAUAGCUCGGAUAGUCCUAUGUUUAUCAAUGAACAGAUUCACACAAAUGCACAAGCUACUACUGUGUUGUUAGCCUCUUUGUGCAGGGACGAGUAUCAUAAGGUGAGCGGCUUGGACAAUGCCAAGCAAAUCUGGGACACCCUCAGGAUCUCACAUGAGGGGAACGACGUCACCUUACCAAAAUGGAGUUGGUGGAGGGAGAGCUUGGAAGAUUCGCAAUGAUCAGGGGAGAGGAGCCAACCCAAACAUACAACCAGCUCAAGACCCUCAUCAACAAGAUAAGGAGCUACGGAAGCACACGAAGGACGGACCACGACGUUGUUCGUCUAAUGCUAAGGUCCUUUACUGUACUUGAUCCACAUUUGGUGAACAAUAUCCGUGAAAAUCCUAUGUACACCAAGAUGUCGCCCGAAGAAGUUCUUGGGAAAUUUGUAAGCGGGCGAAUGAUGAUCAAGGAGGCGAGAUAUGUCGACGACGCGUUGAACGGUCCAAUCCAUGAGCCUCAACCCAUUGCUCUCAAGGCAACGAGGAGCAAGGAGGCGCUACCUAGCAAGGUGGCGCAAGUCGAGGUGGCCGGGCUCAAUGAUGAAGAGAUGGCCCUCAUCAUCAAACGCUUCAAGACGGCGCUAAAGGGUCGCAAGGGGCAGCCAAGCAAGACCAAAACAAAGGGGAAGCGCUCAUGCUUCAAAUGUGUUAAGGUUGGUCAUUUUAUUGCUAACUGUCCCGACAAUGAUAGUGACCAGGAACAAGGGAACAAGAGGGAGAAGAAGAAGAACUAUAAGAAGGCAAAAGGCGAGGCACAUCUUGGCAAGGAGUGGGACUCGGAUUGUUCAUCGUCCGACUCCGACAACGAAGGACUCGCCGCCACUGCCUUCAACAAGUCGUCCCUCUUCCCCAACGAGCAUCACACUUGCCUCAUGGCAAGGGAAAAGAAGGUAAGCGCUUGUAACACUAGUACUUAUGCUUCUUCAAGUGAGGAUGAGUCUAGUGAUGAUGAUGAAAUAGAUUAUUCAUGUUUAUUCAAGGGUCUAGAUAGAACCAAGGUGGAUAAAAUAAAUGAAUUGAUUGAUGCUUUGAAUGAUAAGAAUAGAUUGCUAGAAAAGCAAGAGGAUCUCUUAUAUGAUGAACAUGAUAAGUUUGUAGAAGCUCAAAAAUCCCUUGCUUUAGAAAUAAAGAGGAAUGAAAUGCUUUCUUGUGAAUUGUCUACAUGCCAUGACUCUAUUUCUAGUUUAAAAAGCAUAAACGAUGACUUGAAUGCUAAGUUAGAAAUAGCUAAUAAAUCAACAUCUUGUGUAGAACACGUUGUGGUUUGCACUAGGUGUAAAGAUUUUAAUGUUAAUGCUUGUAGUGAACACCUAGUUUCAAUUUCUAAAUUGAAUGAUCAAGUGGCUAGUCUUAAUGCCCAACUUAAGACUAGCAAAAGCGAAUUUGAUAAGUUAAAAUUUGCAAGGGAUGCUUACACGAUUGGUAGACACCCCUCAAUUAAGGAUGGACUUGGUUUCAAGAGAGAAGCCAAGAACUUAACAAGCCAUAAGUCUCCCAUCCCCACCAAGGAGAAAGGGAAGGCCCCUAUGGCUAUUAGUGCUAAAAAGAAUCAUGCUUUUAUGUAUCAUAAUAGGAGACAUGCUAGAAAUGCAAAUAGAAGUUAUGAUGCUUUUGAUUCACAUGUUUAUGAUUCAUAUGCUAUGUAUGCUUCUAGUUCUUCCUAUAUGCAUGAUAGAAAUGUAGCUAGGAGAAAUGCUAUUAAUCACAUGCCUAGGAGAAAUGGUGUUAAUAUUCCUAGGAAAAUUAAUGAAUCCUCUACAAUAUAUCAUGCUUGCAAUGCGUCAUUUGCCAUUUGUAGAAAGGAUAGGAAGGUAAUUGCUAGGAAAUUAGGGGCAAGAUGCAAGGGAGAUAAAACCUGCAUUUGGGUCCCUAAAACCAUUGUGACUAACUUUGUAGGACCCAACAAGAGUUGGGUACCUAAAACCCAAGCCUAAAUUUGCCUUGCAGGUUUAUGCAUCCGGGGGUUCAAGCUGGAUUAUCGACAGCGGAUGCACAAACCACAUGACGAGGGAGAAGAAGAUGUUUACCUCCUACGUCAAGAACAAGGAUCCCCAAGAUUCAAUCAUAUUCGGUGAUGGGAAUCAAGGCAAGGUGAAAGGCUUAGGCAAAAUUGCAAUAUCAAAUGAGCACUCUAUAUCUAAUGUGUUUUUAGUUGAGUCUCUUGGAUAUAAUUUGUUAUCUGUUAGUCAAUUAUGCAAUAUGGGAUAUAAUCUUCUAUUCACAAAUGUAGAUGUGUCUGUCUUUAGAAGAAGUGAUGGUUCACUAGCUUUUAAGGGUGUAUUAGACAGCAAACUUUACUUAGUUGAUUUUGCAAAAGAGGAGGCCGGUCUAGAUGCACGCUUAAUUGCUAAGACUAGCAUGGGCUGGCUGUGGCAUCGCCGCUUAGCACAUGUGGGGAUGAAGAACCUUCACAAGCUUCUAAAGGGAGAACACGUGAUAGGUUUAACUAAUGUGCAAUUCGAAAAAGAUAGACCUUGUGCAGCUUGUCAAGCAUGCAAACAGGUGGGAAGCUCUCAUCACACCAAAAAUGUGAUGACCACAUCAAGACCUUUGGAGAUGCUUCACAUGGACCUCUUCGGACCCGUCGCCUAUCUAAGUAUAGGAGGAAAUAAGUAUGGUCUUGUUAUAGUUGAUGACUUUUCCCGCUUCACUUGGGUAUUCUUUUUGCAGGAUAAAUCUGAAACCCAAGGGACCCUCAAGCGCUUCCUAAGGAGAGCUCAAAACGAGUUUGAGCUCAAGGUGAAAAAGAUAAGGAGCGACAAUGGGUCCGAGUUCAAGAACCUUCAAGUGGAGGAGUACCUUGAGGAGGAAGGGAUCAAGCACGAGUUCUCCGCUCCCUACACACCACAGCAAAAUGGUGUGGUAGAGAGGAAAAACAGGACACUUAUAGACAUGGCGAGGACGAUGCUUGGAGAGCUCAAGACCCCCGAGCGCUUUUGGUCAGAAGCCGUGAACACGGCUUGCCACGCCAUCAACAUGGUCUACCUUCAUCGCCUCCUCAAGAAGACGUCGUAUGAGCUACUAACCGGUAACAAACCCAAUGUUUCGUAUUUUCGAGUUUUUGGGAGUAAAUGCUACAUUCUAGUGAAGAAGGGUAGGAAUUCCAAAUUUGCUCCCAAAGCCGUAGAAGAGUUUUUGUUAGGAUAUGACUCAAAUACAAAGGCAUAUAGAGUCUUCAACAAAUCAUCGGGUUUGGUUGAAGUCUCUAGCGACGUUGUAUUUGAUGAGACUAAUGGCUCUCCAAGAGAGCAAGUUGUUGAUUGUGAUGAUGUAGAUGAAGAAGAAGUUCCAACGGCCACAAUACGCACCAUGGCGAUUGGAGAUGUGCGGCCACAGGAACAAGAUGAGCAAGAUCAACCUUCUUCCUCAACAAUGGUGCAACCCCCAAUUCAAGAUGAUGAAAAGGAGGCGUGUGAUCAAGGGGGAGCACAAGAUGAUCAUGUAAUGGAGGAAGAAGCACAACCGGCACCUCCAACCCAAGUUCGAGGAAUGAUUCAAAGGGAUCAUCCCGUCGACCAAAUUUUGGGUGAUAUUAGCAAGGGAGUAACUACUCGAUCUCGAUUAGUUAAUUUUUGUGAGCAUUACUCCUUUGUCUCUUCUAUUGAGCCUUUCAGGGUAGAAGAGGCCUUGCUAGAUCCGGACUGGGUGUUGGCCAUGCAGGAGGAGCUCAACAACUUCAAAAGAAAUGAAGUUUGGACACUGGUGCCUCGUCCCAAGCAAAAUGUUGUGGGAACCAAGUGGGUGUUCCACAACAAACAAGACGAGCAUGGGGUGGUAACAAGGAACAAGACACGACUUGUGGCAAAAGGUUAUGCCCAAGUCGCAGGUUUGGACUUUGAGGAGACGUUUGCUCCUGUGGCUAGGCUAGAGUCCAUUCGUAUCUUGCUAGCAUAUGCCGCUCACCACUCCUUCAGGUUGUUCCAAAUGAAUGUGAAGAGCGCUUUCCUCAAUGGGCCAAUCAAGGAGGAGGUGUACGUGGAGCAACCCCCUGGCUUCGAGGAUGAACGGUACCCCGACCACGUGUGUAAGCUCUCUAAGGCGCUCUAUGGACUUAAGCAAGCCCCAAGAGCAUGGUAUGAAUGCCUUAGAGACUUUUUAAUUGCUAAUGCUUUCAAGGUUGGGAAAGCCGAUCCAACUCUUUUUACUAAGACUUGUGAUGGUGAUCUUUUUGUGUGCCAAAUUUAUGUUGAUGACAUAAUAUUUGGUUCUACUAACCAAAAGUCUUGUGAAGAGUUUAGUAGGGUGAUGACUCAGAAAUUCGAGGUGUCGAUGAUGGGCGAGUUAAGCUACUUCCUUGGGUUCCAAGUGAGGCAACUCAAGGAUGGAACCUUCAUCUCCCAAAUGAAGUACACACAAGAUCUGAUCAAGAGGUUUGGGAUGAAGGACGCCAAGCCCGCAAAGACUCCGAUGGGAACCGACGGACACACCGACCUCAACAAAGGAGGUAAGUCCGUUGAUCAAAAAGCAUACCGGUCUAUGAUAGGGUCUUUACUAUAUUUAUGUGCUAGUAGACCGGAUAUUAUGCUUAGCGUAUGCAUGUGUGCUAGAUUUCAAUCUGAUCCAAGGGAGUGUCACUUAGUGGUCGUGAAGCGAAUUCUUAGAUAUUUAGUCGCUACGCCUUGUUUCGGGAUCUGGUAUCCAAAGGGGUCUACCUUUGACUUGAUUGGAUAUUCAGACUCCGACUAUGCUGGAUGUAAGGUCGAUAGGAAGAGUACAUCGGGGACGUGCCAAUUCUUAGGAAGGUCCCUGGUGUCAUGGAGUUCUAAGAAACAAACCUCUGUUGCCCUAUCCACCGCUGAGGCCGAGUAUGUUGCCGCAGGACAGUGUUGCGCGCAACUACUUUGGAUGAGGCAAACCCUCAGGGACUUUGGCUACAAUUUGAGCAAAUUCCCACUCCUAUGUGAUAAUGAGAGUGCUAUCCGCAUGGCGGAUAAUCCUGUUGAACACAGCCGCACAAAGCACAUUUUCAUCCGGCAUCACUUUUUGAGAGACCACCAGCAAAAGGGAGAUAUCGAAGUGUUUCAUGUUAGCUCCGAGAACCAGCUAGCCGAUAUUUCUUACCAAGCCUUUAGAUGAGCAGACCUUUUGCAAGUUGCGUAGUGAGCUCAAUGUCUUAGAUUCGCGGAACUUGGAUUGAUUUAUAGCAUACAUGUGUUUAUGCCUUUGAUCAUGUUCCUUUUGCAUUGUGUUGUCUAUUUAUGUUUCUUAAGUUGUACAUGCACUCCCCGGACCUCACAAGUCCUUUGCCAGUGAUGCACAAAUUUAGGGGGAGAUGUGCUACAACUUGACCCUUCGAGACUAACUGUGUGCUUGAGUUUGCUUAAUUUAGUCUCAAAGGAGGAUUGAAAGGGAAAAGGUGAACUUGGACCAUGCAAGACUUCCACUGCACUCCGAUGAACGAGUAACUUCUUCCAAGUUCAUCUUAGUACUCUUAUUGCCUUUUACUCUUAGUUGAAGAUUUUUGGUGAGGCAAUGGGUUUAAAGGGCCAAAAUUGAUCCCGUUUUGGUGCUUGAUGCCAAAGGGGGAGAAAAUAAGGCUAAAGCAAUAAAUGGAUCAGCUACCACUUGAGAAUUUUGAAAAAGUAGAGUUAGAGUUUUUGUUUGUCAAAAUACUCUUGUUUGCUUCUUAUUAUCAAAAGUUAGUCCCUUGUGGGGAGAAUGGUUGACUAUGGGAAAUAGGGGGAGUUUUUGAUACUGUGAUCGAUUUCUAUUGGAACAACUCUCUUUAUGUCUCUACAAGUGUGUUUGACUUAGAGUUAAGAAAUUGAGGUCGAUUUGCAAAAACAAACCAAGUGGUGGCAAAGAAUGAUCCAUAUAUGCCAAAUUUGAUUCAAAACAAAUUUGAGUUCUUAUUUGAAUUGAUUUUGUACUUGUUCUACUUGCUGUAUGUUGUGUUGGCAUUAAUCACCAAAAAGGGGGACAUUGAAAGGGAAAUGUGCCCUUGGGCCAUUUCUAAGUGUUUUGGUGAUUUAGUGUCCAACACAAGUGCCUAAGUGUCAAAUGGUGGACAAAGUACAAAUCAAGUAAAAAGGUAUGUUUCUUAGACUUAGUACAUUGUUUUAGAGACUAAUGUAUUGUGUCUAAGUGCUGGAAACAGGAAAAGAACAAUUGGAAAUGUCUUGGCUCGAGCAGCCAAGACUCUGCUCAGUCUGGGUGCACCGGACUGUCUGGUGGUGCACCGGACAGUGUCCGGUGUGCCAGGCUGGCUCAGGCGAACUUACCGCUCUCGGGAAUAAAUUAACGGCGUACGGCUAUAAUUCACCGGACUGUCCGGUGUGCACCGGACUGUCCGGUGAGCCAACGAUCAGCCGGGCCAACGGUCGGCUGCGCGAUCCGCGCGAGACACGUGGCCGAGCCAACGGUCGGGAGGGGGCAUCGGACUGUCCGGUGCGCCAACGGCUCCAAGGCUGCCAACGGUCGGCUUCGCCAAAUAAGGAAGGAAAUCCGCACCGGACAGUGUCCGGUGGUGCACCGGACUAUCCGAUGCACCAGGCGACAGAAGGCAAGAAUUGCCUUCCCGGAUUGCUCUCAACGGCUCCUAGCUUCCUUGGGGCUAUAAAAGGGACCCCUAGGCGCAUGGAGGAGGACACCAAGCAUUCCUUGAGCACUCUUGAUCACUCACACUCCAUUCUUGCGCACUUGUUCAACAUUCUAGUGAUUUGAGCUCCGUUCUAGUGUGCUAGUCUUUUGAGCUUAAGUCUGGGUCUUGUGUGUGCGUAUUUGCUGUGAUCUUUGUGUCUUGUGUGAGUUGCUAAUCCCUCCCUUACUCCGUGCUUCUUUGUGAACAUCUUUGUAAGGGCGAGAGACUCCAAGUUGUGGAGAUUCCUCGCGAACGGGAUAUAGAAAAGAAAAGCAAACACCGUGGUAUUUAAGUGGAUCUUUGGACCGCUUGAGAGGGGUUGAUUGCAACCCUCGUCCGUUGGGACGCCACAACGUGGAAGUAGGCAAGUGUUGUACUUGGCCGAACCACGGGAUAAACCAUUGUGUCUACCUGUGUUGAUUCUCUUGUGGUUAUUAUGUUUCGCUAAGACUCUUCUCUAGCCACUUGGCAAUACUGUGCUAACGCUUAACCAAGUUUUUGUGGCAUUAAGUUUAAGUUUUACAGGAUCACCUAUUCACCCCCUCUAGGUGCUCUCACACGCGCAGGUGAGAUCGGGCGCGACGACGUUGGGCUGGCGAGGGAGAGAAUGUGUAGUGGGCCGAAUGGGGUUGGUUGGUCCAUGAAGCUUUUUAUCGUUUUCUGUUUAAUUUUUUUGCCUUUUCAUUUUCAAAUUUCAAAGUUGAAUCUGGAUCUUGCUAUGAAUUUCACCAUUGGCCAAAUGUUCAACUUCAUUUCUCUAGUGUAAGAAUAAUAUAUUUUUAUAUAUUUAUUUUUAUCCACAAAAUAUUUUAUUUCUCCUCCUUUCUAAUUUCUAGAAUUCCUUUUACAUUAUUUUUGUAUUGUCACAAAAUGCACACAAAAUGAAAAUCCCAGCAUGAUGCAUAAUUUAGUGUCAAAUAUUUUAUAAUUAUUUGUUUUUUAAAUAUGGUGUUCACAUGUGAGGGUACAAAAAGGUCAAAUUCACACAUAGAUAAAGUGAAAUCGUUUCUCCUGUUAUAUUAUCUCUACAAAUUACAAUUUGGGUAUUACACAUAUAAUAAUUUGUUUUGAAAAAAUAGAGGCAUAUAUGCAAAGUUUAAAAAAUAGGGACAAAUCUUCAGUUACACCCUAAAACAGGAGCACUAACAUAAUUGGCCCCUUUUAUAGGGUUCAGGCUUUGGUAUGAGUACCAUGGGUCCUCUUUAGCGUGUGCAUUACUUUGGAAAAACGUGGCAGUUGGCGUGACCGAAGGCGGGCUGGCAGAGAUUACGUCAGCAAGCGCACGAAAGCGGCGCGCCAAUCGCCAACCAGGCUUUGGCCCCACCUGCAGGGCUCGUAUCCUCCCCUGAGGUGGGCCCGGGGGCCACUGUCGGUACCCUGAAACAGGGGUACCCCUUACUACAGUAUAAAGACGCGGUACCGCGCGACUAUCUCUAGCCGCGUGGAGAACAGCACCCGACUCCCCCACGUGACCAGAGAAGGCGAUAUCCUCCAAGGUAUCAACGGUGGGUCCGAACCCCCAUGGGAAAGUGUUGGACCCGUGCAUAUGCGGACCAGACCUCCUGGCAGGGUCUAGGGCCUCCGCGGAUACAAACCGGACCCCCGGGACAGGUCCCGGACCUCUCUGUGUGGGGUCUGGGCCACUCUCAGCAGGGUCUCGGGAUUCUAGGAUAAAGAAUACCCAGGCCUUAAUCAAGGCCAGGCGAGGGUUCAGAGCCGACACGUGUCCGGACCAUACCGUGUACGUUACUGCUCCCCGCUCAGGCGGAGUCCCGAUGCUGCCACGUGACCUACCGCCCGUGACGUAAGCCGGCGGGCGGAGCCUGACGUAAGGCCUCUGGGCCGCGCGGCCGCUGCAUUUAUUGCGGAUAAGGCACGUCGCCUGUCUAUUCUACUAGCAGGUGAUGUGCCGCCUCAGCAUUUAAUGAGCCCUGCUACUCCGCUGGCAGGCGAUGUGCCGCCUCAACAUUUAAUGUGCCCUGUCCACUCCGCUGACGAGCAGCGACCAGACCAUCCUGCAGGCGGCGUGCCUGUCCAAUCCGUUGGCAGGCAGUACGCCCGUGCUGCGGCGUACACUGUACUCACUAUGGCCCGCGCGUUACCGAGGAAGCAGCCGCGAGAUAUUAAUAUUAUAUGGACUACGGACAUUAGGGCGCUUAGAGAUCUUCUAGGUGACACUGGCAUUGGAUACUUCUAUUUGUAUUCCCUCCCUUUUGCCCCUGGGCCUACAUGUCGGGGCUCAGCACCCUUGUACGUGCCCCCCUUGAGCUAUAAAAGGGAAGACACACAACGAUACAAGGCAGAUCCAACUUAGUCUCUCAAGCUUAAUACAGCACACAGUGGAGUAGGGUAUUACGCUCCGACGGUCCGAACCACUCUAAACCCUUGUGUGUUCUUGUGUUCAUCAUCCAUCUAGACAGCAGACAAAACGCUUAGGCCCCUCCUCAUCUUAGGAUUUAUGGCGGGUGCGUUCCGCCACCCGGCCGGAGAAUUCCCUCUCCGACAGUUAGGGUUCGAGAUUUCUAGUAGGAUUUGUUAGCCAAACCUGCAGGAUUAACUCGGGAACCGACUUAUAACGGGUCCAGACCUCCCUCCCUUUAUAUAGACGAAGGGUUACAACCGAUUUAAGCCCCUUACAAUCGAUCCAAUUAAAACUAUUUAUCAAUUUUUACCUUAUUUGCAUCGUUCUUCCAAUUUAGGAGUAGAAGUAAUCAAGCCUUAGUUUUACAUCUAGUUUAGUCUUCACAAAAUCUCUCUUCGACUCUACAUCGAUUAGAGAAGUGUCGGGCGACCUGCUGACCCGGAGCAAUAUCUUAGAACUCUCUCCCUCGAAGGGAUCUCUCUCGAGGGUGAGUUCUAGUGUUCUUCGCGAAAAAGAAGACCCUCGGUUGCGGAAGCGUGCACCGGUGCCCAAGUUGCGGACUAUACGACCCUAUGUCGCGGAGUGUCCGUGACUCCACAGAGAGCACCGCUAGAUAGUUUGUUUCAGUGUUUGGCGCCCAAAUCAGCGCCAACACUUAUACAACUAGAGAUGUCACUGUUUCGGCCUUAAAUUCUCACGACGUUCAGUCAAAUUUCACUCGCAUGACGGGCCUUUUCUGAAUAUUUUAUUCAUCAUCACAAAAAUGAUGCGGUCGACAAACAAAAAUGCAGCAGCAUUAGCGACAGCUCCGUAGUUAGGUAUCAGGCCAGCAGCAGUCCAAAAACACCCAUUAACGCAGCGGUGCGCGUGCCACGGUCGCUAGCAGAGGAGCGUAGCAGGAGGCUAGGCUAGGAGCUAGGAAGCAUCAACAGCCGCGGCGGCGUUCGUCGUCUCCUCCUCGGCGGCGGCGGCGUUCGUCGUCUCCUCCGCGGCGGUGGCGGCGUUCUUCGUCUGCUCCUCGGCGGCGGCGGCGUUCUUCAUCUCCUCCUUGAUGACGGCGGCCAGCUGGUCGUAGGCCUCCUCCCACGCCGCCUUCAUCUCCGGCGUCCACAUGUCCGGGACCGCGUCCCUGAUGGUGUCCAGCAGCGCCGUCUUGACGACCUGCACGUUUAAAGACGAGCAAGACCGGUGGGUCUCUGUCUGUCAAUCGCCACCGCUCACAGCUCACUCACUGCAACCGACGACACUUGCGAGCGCUGGAAUAUAUAAUCUGUGCCAUCGAGCUUGCACUUGCAGAGGUUCAUUGCGCCCCAUGGAUAGAAACACGUGUUAAUGAAGUUACCUCGAAAUGCGCGUCGGCGACGCCCGCCCUGGCGUGCGUCGCGCCCAGCCGCUUCAGGGUGGCCUCCCUCACCUUCACGUCGCCGGUGCUCCUCAGCUGCGUCGCCGACUCGCAUGCCUGGACGCCAAUUAAAGCAAAGCAGCAGGUAGCUAGAUGAGGAUAGAAACAUGCGUACAGUACAGAGAUAGAUCGAGGUGGCUGACCAUAACGAAGACGGUGACGGCGUGGGCCUUGAGCUUGGGGUGUUUCUCCAGCGGCGCGUCGCCGGCGUCGCGCAGGAAGGAGAACAUCUGCUUGGCACCCGGCGCGAUCUCAAAGAUCCUGUUUUUAUUUAUUUAUUUAUUUAGCAUGGCACGAAAGAAAAUGACGGUUCCAGAGUAAACACAUGCCAUGGAAAACAAAUUGCACGCGAAUGUACGUAGUGUCAUCACACACCUGAGGAAGAACUUAAGAGCAGUCGACUCAGAGUCGCUCUUCAUGGCUUUCCAUGAACGGAGGACGAGCUCUUCCUGUGCCUCACUGAACCCCAUUAUUCUUGUCUAGCUACUUCUCAGCGCUUCGGCAGGAGUAUGUUUUGUGUGUUCCCCGUGUGAUGCUACGCCGGUGCGAGAUCUGAUCUUCGUUUAUAUAGGCAACCAGCGUGAGGUGAGGGGAGACCGGGAGAGACUCAAGCUAGGGCUAGCUACAGGAGGCUGUGCUUUGAUUUUUCGGAGAGGUGCGUGGCCCUUGAACGUGCGAACGGGGCAGAAGAAACGGGGCAGAAGCAUCUUCUGUCCAUGACGCUGAUUCCCACGAGACCUUUUGUUUUUGAGGGGCGGGGGUAUCGUCCCGUCCAUGACUCCACGUGCUGGUCACGUCGUGGAAGAUUUUAGAUCGUUUCCACUACUUUUGGGGUUUUAUAUAAGGCUAUCCACACUCAUUCAACUCUAAAAAUCCACUCUAAAAAGAAUAUUUCGUCCUAAUCAGCAAUAUUCUCUACUCUAUACAACAAUUCCCUGCGCUCAUGUUUACUCUACAUCUCAACUCUAUACCAACUCCCACGUUUUAUAUUAUUUUUCCCACUCUCCUACCCUGCCUACCUACCUCCCCGCUCGGCACUCCGCCUCCCCCGCGGCAGACAGCAGCCGCUCGCCUCCCCUCCACCCGCUCGCUCUUCGUCCUCCGCCUUGCCUCCACCUCCCCAGCCUCCUUCCCUCCGGCCGGCCACCGCGCCUCCUUCCCUCUUCCUCCUCCCCGGCGUCGAGCGGAUCCGGGCCGGCGCGCCGCUCUCCUCUCCCACGCCGGCGCGCGCGGAUCCGGCGAGGAGGCGUGCGGAUCCAGCCCGGCGGCUCGCGAAUCCGGCUCGGGCACGCGCGGAUCCGGCCAGGCGACUCACGAAUCCGGCGAAGCCACGCGGAUCCGGCGAGGAGGCGCGUGGAUCCGACCCGGCGGCGCGCUGUCAUCCUCCACCGAUAUAAGCCCCUAUCUACAUCUACUUUCCUUGAGUGAGCAUAAUAUAGAUUUUUUGAUUCGAUUCAAAAUUCCAAGAUAACUCAUUAGAAUUAUUAAUAAGACCGUCCUGAUAUAUUAGGUAGGAAUAUUUAGAUUGCCGAUUUUUAUGUACUUUAUUACUUCUGUUCCAGAGCCUAUCCCUAUUGUUUAUCCUUAUGAAAUAUGAUAUAAAAUUGAAGGUAGAAGAAAGGGAUAUAAUGAAAUUCUUGAUUUGAUUUUCAACCAAACCAC